GGGUCGGCGAUGGCGCAGGACGUGCUCCUGGGCGCCAACGGCGGCGUGCUGGUGUUCGAGCCCAACGACUUCAGCGUCAAGGCCGGCGAGACCAUCACCUUCAAGAACAACGCCGGGUACCCGCACAACGUGGUGUUCGACGAGGACGCGGUGCCCUCCGGCGUCGACGUCUCCAAGAUCUCCCAGGAGGAGUACCUCAACGCCCCCGGGGAGACCUUCUCCGUCACGCUCACCGUCCCCGGCACCUACGGCUUCUACUGCGAGCCCCACGCCGGAGCCGGCAUGGUCGGCAAGGUCACCGUCAACUAAGCUGUCAUCUAGCUCUUGCGAAUUGUUGCGGGUCGGUUGAUCGAUCGGGCGUGUCAUGCAUGCAUAUUGAUUAAUUGUACGUACGUACGCUAUAUGUAUAUGUUUUCAACUAUAAGAUGAGAUGAGGCUCUUGAUGAUAAGUACGCACUCCUUCUUAGCUUUGAUUUGAUUGAUGAUCUAUGCUUAAUUAUUUUUUUCAAUUUGUUAUGCUCAUCGAAAAUUAGUAUGCCGGUGUUAUGUCAAUACUCAAACUUCAUGUUCUCUCAGAUAUACUAUAUAUGUGUCCCGACUUCGUACCUUUAAUAGGAGGCAAAUAUAAUUGAGCUACCACCUGUGACUUUGGGUCUAUGACAUAUGGACCAGACACCUAAUGGGCCCACAUGUCAUGCACCCAAAGUCAAGAGUAACUUUAACAAUUGUUAUAGGAAAACGAUUCCCUCAAAAGAAAUAAAAUCCAGCACACCCAAAGAGAAAGGGAUACGUGUAUAAGGCCAAUGGGUUCAAAUGUUGCAUGGGAGCAAAACUUGAAAACAAGAAAUUUUGGGCUUCACUUGAAUGUGUCUAUUCCUCUUCUUUUUCUUUAGAAAUAGAGUACACACACGGACAUGGAUCCUCUUAUGUUGCUAUCAUUGCCUUACCCCGCCUUUCUGUUGCUGACAGGUGGGACCGAUGCUUGAUGAGACCCACAUGGCAGUGACUCAAUUGUAGGAUAGCCCACGUUAGGGGAUCCUCAUCCCCCCCCCCCUCCCCCUCCCCACCACCACACCGAAUGCUAGACCUGCAUAAUACUUGUUACGUAAUUUACGUAAAUAGCAACGUUGAGCGUUAUUAGCAAAUUAUUUACUUAAUUUACGUAAACAGUUACAAGACAGAAUCUGAGCAUGGGGCAACAUAGCACGUUAUUUUGAACUGCUAAAAAAAGGUGCUUAAAAGAUUUUUCUUUUUAGUUUUUUUACAUCAAUACGCAUGCUUGUGGUCUAACUACUUGUGAGAUUUCAUUCAAGAAUACAACGUGCUGCACAAAAAAAGGCAAAAUUUUGCCCAGAAACAACUAAGAACAAGCCCCUAAUUUGCACGUGUUCUGUAUUUUUUGUAUAUUUCACGUGCAAACAUGUAUAAUGUUGAAAUGUUGGCGCAUUAUACUGCAUUGCUGUAAUGCAGAAAUUUGAAAAUUUUCAAGCCAUGGUUUUUUGAACUUACAAAAAAAAUAGGCACUAUGUGCCCGUGCUUUUUGUACGUGGGCCGUGUGUGUUUCUGCACUUUUGGCCCGUUUUUUAGUUUUCUUACAGAGGAUGGCCGGGUUUUUUUUUCUUCGGGAGGAAAAAAAAAUAGAAGGUGCGACUCCGCUGGGGAUCGAACCCAGAAUCUCUGGUUUCGUAGACCAGCGCCUUAUCCAUUGGGCCACGGAGUCCUGCGUGUGUUAUAUUUCUUUUUGUUAGGGUCAUAUAUCAAUUAUCUUUUCCUUUAAGCACCAUGUACAACCGUUGUGUUAGUCAGCCACACAUGUAUUCUUAGUCCCCCACAUAGACCUCUUUUAAAUAAUAUUUAGGUCACUUUCUAAUUAUUAUUUUUGCAGUUUUUUUACCUUUUGCUUUCUUUCUUUUUUUUGAACCUUUUGCUUCCUUUUCCAUCACGCGAAAAAAAAGAAUUUUAAGUUGUAACUCACGGGAUUUUCUUAGUAAUAACGUGUGCCUUUUGUUGUCGUGUUGUUCGUUCUAUCGGUGUCGAUUUGUGGUUUAGUUGCGAGGCACGAUAGAUUUUCACUUGGGUCGCGUGUGUGUCUUCUGUUGUUUCGGCUUUGCCCCUCGACCAUCGUGACUCAUACAUUGGCAUAGGUGUGCAGGAGAGAUUCGCUAAAAAAAGGUGUGUAGUAAGAGAGGCUCAUAUAAUUUUUUUUUUCUGUGUUUCAGUUUGGGGCUGGAUUUUACCAUGGAAGGAGUAAUGGAUAUUGUCUUUUCUUCUUGGAGCAGACGCGCACAAGUGGGCUGAGAGGGUGAUAGUAACACCUCAUUCACGAGUGCUUUUACCGAGUUUUAAUUUAGGUCUGGCCAAAAUUUAGUGGAGUAAAAAUGUCCCACUGAGGGUUUACUCCGCUAGAUCCUCCGUUAUGUAUAGGGAUCGGUUAGAGUUGCCCUUACGUUUGCUUUGGUCCAUGGGAUUCAUCAAAAGGGCUUCAGGGUUAACCCAGCUUUGGCUCCAAGCCUGCAAGCAUUCCCAACUGCAGAAGGAUUGAUUUCCCAAGUCAAAAAUAAUUUGGAACCAAAAGUGGUGUCCUAGUUGUGCCACCCCAAUGCAUCAUAGUCAGUUAUGUAUGUUUCAUCUCCUGAAAAGGGAAUCGUUAUUGCCCAAAACAAAGGAAAUGUCAGAUAUGCCUAAAAAUGAUCUGUGUGCUAAAAAUAAAGAAUGGCUGAAAUGAAAAAUAAAAAUAAAGGAGUGGAGGUGCGGGGAAUCGAACCCCGUGCCUCUCGCAUGCGAAGCGAGCGCUCUACCAUAUGAGCUACACCCCCGUUGCUUGUUACGUUGGUACGCGUGAUUAAUUGGUCUGUUAAUUAAUUACUCCCGUCAGUACGUACUACUCCAUAUGGAGUAUUUAACGGCAUCUUGUUUCCUAUUAUAUUAUAUGGACAAAAUAUAGAGUGCACAACAUCCAUAUGGGUGUCUUACCACAAUAGAUCAAUCACAAUACUGUACUAAAUUUGAAGCUUCCCGGUACAAUCCCUGAUGUUGUUUAGAGGACUAAUUAACUGACUUGUACACUCUGGCGAUGAUGCGUCAUCGUGGUACUGAUGUAUGUUAGUAUGUACUACUUCAAUUUGAAAUGAAACCACAUCACUUAUUUUAUAUCGAAGGGAGUAGCAAAUUUGCUUGUGUGUCGCAACGGGAGAAAAAAAAUCACACUUCCCUAGCUCAAUGGCUCUAGACCCUUCCCUCUCCCCACACUCACCUAUUCCCGUACAAUAAAAACAAGAUGGUAAGUGGUGUCGCACAAAAACAUAAAUGUGGAACGAUUUUUUUUGACGAGAAGGCCAUCAUCACUAGCUUUAUUAAAACUCAAAUGACACUUACAUCAUCAGCUAAAAAUUUAAAGAGGAAAUCCGGCGGAACCUCCACCCAAAAGGUAGGAGUAUUGGCACCGCCCCACUGAGCUAGGUCAUGGGCAACCAUAUUAGACUCUCUAAUACAAUGUUCUACCACAGCCUUCCUGAGUUCUCUCAACAUCACUCGACAAUCUUGCAAAAUAGGAGCCGCCACCAUCAGAGUGUCCUUCAUUAUUAUGUAGCGCCUGCACCACUAUCAGGUUGUCCAUACGUACUAAAAGAUUGUUGCAUCCAGUGCUCUGUGCUAGUUUUAGUCCCUCCAAUAGCGCUGCUGCUUCUGCUGAAACCACAUCUGGGACAUGGUCAAGUCUUGCUGUAGCUGCCCUGAUGAAGCCUCCUCUGUUAUCGCGAAGCACAGCUCCACAAGCUCCUGUGAAAUCGUCUUCUGAGUAGGAUGCGUCGACAUUCAGUAUUUGCUGUCGGUCAUGCCAGGAGACCAUCUGUUUGCAUGUGGAACUUGGGUCAAAAUUCCUCUUGCUCUAACAAAAUUCAAGGUUAAAGCGUAUUUUGCUGGAGCAGUCUGAAUUGGACACUGAACUUGUUCACCCCGGACCAAUUGCCUGCGUUGCCACCAUAUGUACCAACAUGCUGUUGCAAACAACUCUGGUAGUUUAACUGGGUCCAUAUACAUGUGCUGAGAGGCUUGAUCACAUAGCAUAAAUUCAAUCAAUGUUGAACCAGCAUGAUCCACUAGCGUUGCAUCCGCUACUUCCUUUGCUAUUCCAAGGGCUUCCCAAAUUUGCAUUACUCGGGGGCAUUUAAAAAGGGCAUGCAUUAUGUCUUCUGCUCCCGAAGAACAUACUGGACGCUGAGAGUUACUGCCAAUAUGGCGGUUUGCAAGGACACAAAGACAUGGGAUAGCAUUGUGCAAACACCUCCAUGGACAUUUUUUGAUCUUCCCUGGUAGCUUGAGGUUCCAUAAUCUUUUCCACCCCGGAUGUGAUGAAGAUCCACCUGACUGAAGUGCACCCGGGGUUGUCGCAUAACACACUUCCCACUGCUUAUAAUAAGCUGACCGUACCGUAAAAACGCCACUCUUCGUGAGGUGCCAUGUGAUGUAGAUUUCCAUCUCCUGAUGAUGGAUUGGGAUUUGAAGAAUGCGGUCCACAUCAAUAGGCCAGAAAUUCUCACGAAUAAGCAGUUCAUCCAUUCCCCCGAGACUGGGUCUAUUAAUUCAUGAACUUUAGUAAGCACUUGAUUCGCCCGAACUGUCACUAUUUUCCUUGAAGAGCUAUUCGGUAUCCAGCAAUCAUCCCAAAUAUUUAUUUUUGCUCCAUCUCCAACUCUCUAUAUACUACCCUUCUUGAAAGUUUGAAUUCCCACCCAUAUACUUUGCCAUACGAAAGAUGAGCCCUUUUUCAACUCGCAAUUUAGAAUAUCACCCGUGGGAUAGUACCUUGAUCUCAAAACCUUUGCACAGAUAGAGUCAUAAUUUUCAAUCAGCCUCCAAACUUUCUUUGCGAGCAUAGCCAAGUUGAAAUUGUGGAUGUCACGGAAGCCCAUCCCUCCGUUAUCUUUGGGCACACACAUUUUCCACCACGCAAACCAGUGCAUCCGGCGUUGGUUCUCGUCAUCACCCCACCAAUACUGCGACAUUGCAUCAGUGAUCCCCUUAUAAAUGUGGAACGAUUUUAUAAUAAAGGUGUGUGUGCAAUUUAGGCCACAUAUAUAUCUGAUGGAAAUAUGCCCUAGAGGCAAUAAUAUAGUUGUUAUUAUUAUAUUUCCUUGUUCAUGAUAAAGUUUUAUAAUUAAUGCUAGAAUUGUAUUGGUCGGAAACAUGUGUGGAUACAUAAACAAAUACCGUGUCCAAGUAAACCUUUACUAGACUAGCUCAUUGAUCAAACAUGGUUAAUGUUUCCUAACCAUGGACAUGUGUUGUCACUUGAUAACGAGAUCACAUCAUUAGGAGAAUGAUGUGAUGGACGAGACCCAUCCGUUAGCUUAGCAUAUGAUCAUUCAGUUUAUUGCUACUGCUUUCUUAAUGUCAAAUACAUGUUCCUUCGACCAUGAGAUCAUGCAACUCCCGAAUACCGGAGGAAAGCCUUGUGUGCUAUCAAAUGUCACAACGUAACUGGGUGAUCAUAAAGAUACUCUACAGGUAUCUCCGAAGGUGUCUGUUGAGUUGGUGUGAAUCGAGAUUGAGAUUUGUCACUCCGUGUAUCGGAGAGGUAUCUCUUGGCCCUCUCGGUAAUACACAUCACAAGAAGCUUGCAAGCAAAGUGACUAAGGAGUUAGUUGAAAGAUGAUGUUUUACGGAACGAGUAAAGAGACUUGUAGGUAACGAGAUUGAACUAGGUAUAGAGAUACCGAUGAUCGAAUCUCGGGCAAGUAACAUAGCGACAGACAAAGGGAAUUACAUAUGUUGUCAUAAAAAUUCAACCGAUAAAAGAUCUUCGUGGAAAAUGUAGGAAUCAAUAUGAGCAUCCAGGUCCCCCUAUUGGUUAUUGACCAGAGAGUUGUCUCGGUCAUGACUACAUAAUUUCCAAUCCCGUAGGGUCGCACGCUUAACAUUCAUUGACGCUCGAGUAGUAUUGGGAUAUUUGAUGAGUCGUAACCAAAUGUUGUUUGGAGUCCCGGAUGAGAUCCUGGACGUCACGAGGAGUCUCGGAAUGGUCGAGAGCUAAACAUUUAUAUAUGGGAAGUCAUAUUUUGGGUUCCAGAAAAGGUGCAGUUUUUUCAGUAUUGUACCGGGAAGCUUUCAGAAGGUUCCAGAGGGGUCGGGAAGUCCACAAGUGGGUUCACCACGACCCAAGGGCUAGCAUGGGCUGCGGGGAGGCGCUCUGGCCUUAUCGGGCUAGGCGCAUGAUAACCCACACAUAUAGGGGAUCACUACAGUUUUCGAGGAUAGAAUAUUCAAUCCAAAUUUAUUGAUUCGACACAAGGAGAGCCAAAGAAUAUUCUCAAGUAUUAGCAGCUGAGUUGUCAAUUCAACCACACCUGAAAGACUUAAUAUCUACAGCAAAGUAUUUAGUAGCAAAGUAGUAUGAAAGUAGCGGUAACGGUGGCAAAAGUAAUAGUAGCAGUUUUGUAGCAAUCGUAACAGUGGCAACGGAAAAGUAACUUAACAAAGAUCAAUGUGAAACGGGCUCGUAGGCAAUGGAUCAAUGAUGAAUAAUUAUGUCGGAUGGAAUUCAUCAUGCAACAGUUAUAACAUAGGGUGGCAAAGAACUAGCUCCAAUUCAUCAAUAUAAUGUAGGCAUGUAUUCCGAAUAUAGUCAUGCGUGCUUAUGGAAAAGAACUUGCAUAACAUCUUUUGUCCUACCCUCCCGUGGAAGCAGGAUCCUAUUGAAAACUAAGGGAUAUUAAGGCCUUCUUUUAAUAGAGAACCGGACCAAAGCAUUAGCACCUAAUGAAUACAUGAACUCCUCAAACUACGGUCAUCACCGGAAAGUGUCCCGACUAUUGUCACUCCGGGGUUGCCGGAUCAUAACACGUAGUAGGUGACUAUAACUUGCAAGAUUGAAUCAAUAACACAAAUAUAUUCAUGAAAAUAUAAUAGGUUUAGAUCUGAAAUCAUGGCCUUCGGGCCCUAGUGAUAAGCAUUAAGCAUAGCAAAGUCAUAGCAACAUCAAUCUUAGAACAUAGUGGAUACUAGUGAUCAAACCCUAACAAAACUGACUCGAUUAUAUGGUAAAUCUCAUCCAACCCAUCACCGUCCAGCAAGCCUACGAUGUGAUUACUCAUGCACGGCGGUGAUCAUAAUGAAAUUGGUGAUGGAAGCUGGUUGAUGAUGACGAUGGCGACGAUUUCCCCUCCCCGGAGCCCAAAAUGGACUCCAGAUCUGCCCUCCCGAGGAAGAACAGGAGGUGGCGGCAGCUCCGUAUCGUAAAAUGUGAUGAAUCGUUCCUCUGAUUUUUUUCUCCCCGAACGUGAAUAUAUGGAGUUCGAGUUGAGGUCGGUGGAAGUCUGUGGGUCCCACAAGACAGGGGCGCGCCCUAGGGGGUGUGCGCCCUCCACCCUUGUGGACAGGUGGUGGGUCCCCUCUAGUUGAUUCUUUCACCAAUAUUUUUUAUUUAUUUCAAAAAUAAUCUCCGUGAAGUUUCAGGUCAUUCCGAGAACUUUUAUUUCUGCACAAAAAUAACAACAUGGCAAUUCUCCUGAAAACAUUGUCAGUCCGGGUUAGUUCCAUUCAGAUCAUGCAAAUUAGAGUCCAAAAUAAGGGCAAAAGAGUUUGGAAAAGUAGAUACAACGGAGACAUAUCAGUGCACCAAGUUCUCAAAAGCCCAUGUGGGUAGGGAAUGCAAAAAAGGAAGGAGUCCUAGUAGGAAUAGGAUUGUACUUGGAGUCAAAGUCCUCUCCCCCUUAGCUGCGCCCUAGGGCUUGGAGGGGCUGUUUUCCACACCCCUCCACUAUAUAUAGAGGGGAUGGGGGUGCCCCAAGAGGAAAAAUCAAGCCCUUCCGUAGUUCCACUGCCUUGUUCCAGAGACGCUUAGCGAAGUGCUGUCGAUGCUCCACCAUCACCAUUACCACCACGCCGUCGUGUUGGUUGUAAUCCCAUCUACUUCUCCUCUCCCGCUUGCUGGAUCAAGAAGGAGGAGACGUCAUCGAGCCGCACGUGUGCUAAACUCGAAGGUGUCGUCCGUUCGACACUAGAUCGGUUGGAUCGUGAUCAGAUCGCGAAGAGUAUGACUACAUCAACCGCGUGAUAAACGCUUCCGCUUAGCGAUCUACAAGGGUACGUAGAUGCUCUCCCCCUCUCGUAGCUAUGCAUCUCCAUGGAUAGAGUGCGUAGAAUUUUUUAUUUUUCAUGCAACGUUCCCCAACAAUAUCUACCAUGUUGUGAUCAUCAAAUCUGCACACCUUACUGGCAUUCCUCAGUGAUGCCCAUUCUCACCGGGUGGCUAGCGUGGAUGACACGGUGGCCUGGUUCUUGGCCGCUGGCCCCGAGCCAAAACUCAUCGACAAUUUCACUUANNNNNNNNNNNNNNNNNNNNNNNNNNNNNNNNNNNNNNNNNNNNNNNNNNNNNNNNNNNNNNNNNNNNNNNNNNNNNNNNNNNNNNNNNNNNNNNNNNNNNNNNNNNNNNNNNNNNNNNNNNNNNNNNNNNNNNNNNNNNNNNNNNNNNNNNNNNNNNNNNNNNNNNNNNNNNNNNNNNNNNNNNNNNNNNNNNNNNNNNNNNNNNNNNNNNNNNNNNNNNNNNNNNNNNNNNNNNNNNNNNNNNNNNNNNNNNNNNNNNNNNNNNNNNNNNNNNNNNNNNNNNNNNNNNNNNNNNNNNNNNNNNNNNNNNNNNNNNNNNNNNNNNNNNNNNNNNNNNNNNNNNNNNNNNNNNNNNNNNNNNNNNNNNNNNNNNNNNNNNNNNNNNNNNNNNNNNNNNNNNNNNNNNNNNNNNNNNNNNNNNNNNNNNNNNNNNNNNNNNNNNNNNNNNNNNNNNNNNNNNNNNNNNNNNNNNNNNNNNNNNNNNNNNNNNNNNNNNNNNNNNNNNNNNNNNNNNNNNNNNNNNNNNNNNNNNNNNNNNNNNNNNNNNNNNNNNNNNNNNNNNNNNNNNNNNNNNNNNNNNNNNNNNNNNNNNGGCCUUGGAGGCGUCGUCUACGGUGAUGGCACCAUUUUUCUCUUACAGUUUUCGCUCGCGCAGCAACAAGAAGCAAGCCAUUAUGGAAACAGAGUUCACGGCAGCUAUCAUGCGCUCCGGCGACAAGUCAUGGACGGUCAUGGAAAAGAGACUGGAUAUAGUGGCACGAGGAGGCGAUGCCAUGUGUCAUGACAACAUGGUCUUGGUGUGGGCUGCCGACUAUCUCUGGUGCUUCCUCCACCAAACUAAUGGCGGUGGCAUCGGGGGAAGCAACCUUGCAUCAUGGAGGUGGAAUACAGACCACGGUCACAAUUAUGAUCACGAAUGCAACUACAUGUUGGAGUCACAAGGUGAGAUACUAUGGGCAUCCAUCCUGAUGAAAGAGAACAACAGUCAUUACAGCUACGACGGCCCGCCGUGGACAUUUCGGAUGACGCUAUGCGCACUGUAGAAAGAGGCGAGAUGCGACGGGUCAUCAAGGAUGGCCAGAGCCUUGGCAACCACAUAUUGUUCCUCGGGUCUCCGGCUAGUUUCUUCGCUCAUCAGCUCGAUAAUUCAGGCAACAUUAGCAAUGCCUACUUUGCCUUUGGGGGCGGCAUGUUUAGAUACGAUUUUGUGGACGACGAGAGUGAGCUUGUCAAGUGGGUGCCUAUUAGAUUGAGCUACAACGAUGCAUGCGCGGUGUGGCUCCGCCCCAAGCUUACGUUUGCUCCGUCCAUGAGGUUCAAGAAGGGUCGAGGCUCAAAAGAAGGCGCCGUCAAUUUCUAAACUCAAACCACUACUUUGGCAACUCCAUUGUAGUCUUGUCUUGAAAUAUUCAGGGACCAAAAUAAGAAGGCGUUCUAGUUGGCGACCAUCUAUAUAUUUGGACACAAGGAUCCGGGUUUCCUUUUUUUGUUUUUUGAGAAUGGAAAUAAGAAUUGUUAUGAUUGUAUUUUGCAAUUUGCGGGAUUACAAUGCAUCUUAUCCGGCUUAGCUAUUGGUCAGGCAACAAAAAAAAACUUAUAAGAGGAAGACAUAAGCCGGAUGAAGAAAUAGAAAAGAGUGGAAUUGUCACAUACUAGUAGUUUUGUUUCCUCAAAACAAGAAACAAAAAAGGAAAGGACGAAUGAAGUAAAAAGAGAAAUGAAUGGAAUGCAAAAAUAAAGGAUUGGAGGUGCGGGGAAUCGAACCCCGUGCCUCUCGCAUGCGAAGCGAGCGCUCUACCAUAUGAGCUACACCCCCGUUUCUUGCUACCUCGGGACGCGUGAUCAAUUACUAAUUGGGUUUGUUCAAUUGCUAAUUACAUGUUGUAAUCAGUGGGAGCAGCAGGUCCUAAUUCCACUCUUUUCUAUUUCUUCAUCCGGCUUAUGUUUUCCUCCAAACUAGCCGGAUAAGAUGCAUUGAGAUCCCGCAAAUUGCAAAAUACAAUCAUAACAAUUCUUAUUUCCAUUCUCAAAAAACAAAGAAAACCCCAAAUCCUUGUGUCCAAAUAUAUAGAUCCAGGUCGCCAACUAGAACGCCUUCUUAUUUUGGUAGCCGAAUAUUUCGAGACAAAACUACAAUAAUGGAGUUGCUAAAAUAGUGAUUCACCCUUGUGAGUUUAGAAACUGAGCGCGCCUUCUUUUGAGCCUCAAGCCUUUCUUGAAUCUCAUGGACCUGAGCAAACGUAAGCUUGGAUAGGAGCCACACCGCGCACGCAUCGCUGUAGCUCAAUCUAAUAGGCAGCCACUUGACAAGCUCGCUCUCGUCGUCCACAAAAUUGUAUCUAAACACGCCGCCCUCAAAGGCAAAGUAGGCACUGCUGCUGCUGUUGCCUGCAUUAUCCAGCAACUGAGCGGAGAAACUAGCCGGAGAGCCGAGGAACAAGAUGCGGUUGCCAAGGUUCUGUCCAUCCUUGGCGACCCACCGCAUCUCGCCGCUGCCUGCCUUGUUAGAGUUGUGUCGCAUAUUGUGUACAAGGUAGGUUACAGUUGGACUAUGAGUUGUAUUGUGUUUACAUAGGAUGUGGAAUCGUGUCCUAGUAGGACACUUGUAUCCUAGGCCUCUCAUAUAUAGCGGAGGUAGACACACGAUGUAACCUAUGCCAACAUAAUAGUACAGGCGCGCAAGGGGGAGCUGGCGGGUGUGCCGGCGCCCGGGUGGCCGGUGUGCGGUAUUGUGAUGGUGUCAUGGGGAGGAGCGUCCAUAGUCAGGCCCCGAGGAUGUAGCCAUAUCGAUGAACCUCGUUAACAAAUCUCGGUGUCGUGCUUGUGUGAUUGCUUGGUCCUCGAAUGAUCGACAGGUGUGCCUCAGAUUUAUUCUAACAAGUGGUAUCAUGAGCAAGAUUUUGAAAAGGUUGUGGAAGUUGGUCUAGAGGAAGUAUCGAAUUCGAGAUGCAGCCGGUUGCGGUGUGGUUCUCGGCAAGAUUGAGGAAGCGAUCAGCGGAAAUUGGAUGGCCAUGCAAGCAGUCGAGACGUGCGGCGGUGGAUGAGGUGGAUCGAUCGGGCGAGCGUCAGGCGUCGUACGCGAGUUGCGACGCAACCCAGGUGCACGGUGUCAGUGGUGGCCCAAGGCCCUGGAUUGCUGAGGAGCCGUGCAAGUUGGAUGCAUACGGUGCGAGCUAGGAGUACAUACGAGAUUUGUUUGGAAAACAAAACCGGACCGAGUCCAGGGAGACUCGAACACGUGUCUCUGCGAUGGGUGUACCUGCGGUGGAGUAUAAAAACAGCAGCAGGCAGCCUCGUGACGAGACAAGGAGGCAGGCCAAAUCUAGCGGAAAAUUCCAUAUAGUGAUACACGUACAUCAGGAAAGUUGAGAAUUUGACAAAGCAAAUAGUUAGCAUCAGGAGUUAAAGCCAAGAUAGUUUUUUCACAGGGUCAGCCGUCCGAAGAACCAGGACGUCAACUAGUUCCAGGUUUGAGGUGAAGAAGUUCGUGGAACUGAAAACCUUGGGUUAUGGCAGACAAAAGUGAAAAAUUUGUUGGCGCAAUAGAGAUGCUUGAAGGCGUUGCAGGAAGUCACGUCAGCUAAGAUGGAAUUUCAUCACCAACCCAGAUUCGCUUUGUGCACGAGUUCUCAAGGGCCGUUACUUCCCAGACACCAAUUUCAUGCAUGCUCCAAUUCCCAAGUCAGCUUCGGCCACUUGGAAGGCAACUGUGGCGGGAAGGAAUGCCCUGAGGACAGAUUUAAUCUCCAGAGUGGGAGAUGGCUCUACCAUCUCAAUUUGGGAGGACAAGUGGAUCCCAGGCACGGUCUCUAUGGCACCAACUUAGAGGCCUACAAAUACAAACAUCGGUCGGGUGUCGGAUCUCAUCGAUACAGGGAGUUGGUCUUGGAAGCAUGACGUGAUCAGGGACAAUUUCACCGCCCAGGGUGUCGCGGCCAUUCUGAAUAUUCCUAUCAGGCAAGGCGGGGGUGAUGAUUUUCUCGCAUGGGCAUUUGAUAAAUCAUGUAACUACACUGUGAAGACGACUUACCGUGCUCUCGUGACUCAGAACGAGCGUUUGGCUCUAGAGGAAGGGACGGCUACCGAAACCUCAUCGGACGAUCAACAGUUGUGGAAAUCCUUGUGGAAGUUGAAUGUUAUCCCAAAAGUGCGAGUCUUCUGGUGGAGGGUGUUACGUGGCAUUCUUCCAGAUGAAGCUACUCUCAAUCAUCGACACAUUCCAGAUUUUCGUCAAUGCAAUGUCUGCCGCUCUAUGGAGGAGGAUUUGAAGCAUGCGCUGAUUCAUUGUACACAUGCACAGUGCUUCUGGGAAGAGGCGUGGACAUGGCUUGGUCUUCGCCUUCCCCCUCUCCACUCGGAUACUUGGGCACGAGACAUCACAUGUGAUCCUCAGUUCACAUCCGAUGAACGUGCCAAGAUCACUACUACCAUGUGGUCAAUGGCAUUACAGGAACCGAAUCAAACAUGGAGACGAGGGGAGAGACCCUAUAGCAACUAUCGGAAAUAUCAAGGAUUCUAUCUCCCUCCUUCAGCUACCUCGUAAGGAAACCCUGGUUCUACCGGUUAUGGUGGGCGGCCCCCGGAAGUGGGUUCGGUCAACAUCACAACCGACGGUGCUCUGAAUUUUGAUGAAGGCCGGGGCGGUGCAGGAGGAGUGGCCCGAUCGUCCUCUGCUCCUAGGUUCUUGGUGCAAACCAUACAUGGGAGUUUCAGAUCCCUUGAUGAUGGAGUGUUUGUCGCUGCGAGAUGGAGUAUGCUUUGCUUGUCUGAGGAUUUCCGCAUGUGAUUAUGGAAGUCGACUGUUUAGAACUAGUGAAGUUCUGGUAAUCUCGCCACAAUUCUCGUUCAAUUGUGGCUCCUUUACUUUUGGAAAUAGGAGAGCUCUGUACUACUUUUUCUUCAUUUGGUAUUCAGCAUGUAAAUCGGGUGGCGAUCGUUCCGGUGCAUUUGUGUGCGAAGCGUGCUUGCACACUGAAUGUGACAGAAAGCUGGCUCGAUGAAACCCCUAGCUUCUUGGUCACCAUCCUUUUGGCUGACUGCACCGAGUGUGCUUUCAAUGAAUAAAUCUCUCUAAUUUUCCCGCAAAAAAGACCGGCCAAGCGCUCGGCCGAUCUCCUCCCUCACGCGUGUCCAAUGCCGGGGCCAGGAGCCUUAUCUCCUCCACUGCUUCUCUUUUCUUAGCCACAAACGCAGUGCGUCUUCAUCCUCUAUCCAAUCCCCUCCCUUUCCCUUUCCUUCCUCAUUUCAUCUCCAGUGAGAGCUCUCCACCACACCAUCUCCUCUAGCCAUGCCGGCACGCGAGGUCGCCGGCGUCGAAGGCGGCUGGGCUUGUUGAUACGUCUCCAACGUAUCUAUAAUUUUUGAUUGUUCCAUGCUAUUAUAUUACCCCUUUUGGAUGUUUAUGGGCUUUAUUUUAUACAUUUAUAUCAUUUUGGGACUAACCUACUAACCGGAGGCCCAACCCGUAUUGCUGUUUUUUUGCCUAUUUCAGUAUUUCGAAGAAAAGGAAUAUCAAACGGAGUCCAAACGGAAUGAAACCUUCGGGAGCAAUCUUUUUGGAACAAACGUGAUCUAGAGGACUUGAAGUGCAAGUCAAGAAGCAGCCGAGGCGGCCACGAGAGGGUAGGGCGCCCCCCCUACAGGGCGCGCCCCCUGUCUCGUGGGCCCCUCGGGCGGCCACCGACCUACUUCUUCCUCCUAUAUAUACCUACGUACCCUGAAAACAUCCAGGGAGCAACCAAAACACAAUUUCCACCGCCGUAACCUUCUGUAUCCGCGAGAUCCCAUCUUGGAGCCUUCGCCGGUGCUCCGCCGGAGGGGGAAUCGAUCACGGAGGGCUUCUACAUCAACACCAUAGCCCCUCCGAUGAGUUGUGAGUAGCUUACCACAGAUCUUCGGGUCCAUAGUUAUUAGCUAGAUGGCUUCUUCUCUCUUUUUGGAUCUCAAUACAAUGUUCUCCCCCUCUCUUGUGGAGAUCUAUUCGAUGUAAACUCUUUUUGCGGUGUGUUUGUCGAGAUCCGAUGAAUUGUGGGUCUAUGAUCAAGUUUAUCUAUGAGAAAUAUUUGAAUCUCUUCUGAAUUCUUUUAUGUAUGAUUGGUUAUCUUUGCAAAUCUCUUCGAAUUAUCAGUUUGGUUUGGCCUACUAGAUUGAUCUUUCUUGCCAUGGGAGAAGUGCUUAGUUUUGGGUUCAAUCUUGCGGUGUCCUUACCCAGUGACAGAAAGGGUUGCAAGGCACGUAUUGUAUUGUUGCCAUCGAGGAUAAAAAGAUGGGGUUUAUAUCAUAUUGCAUGAGUUUAUCCCUCUACAUCAUGCCAUCUUGCUUAAUGCGUUACUCUGUUCUUUAUGAACUUAAUACUCUAGAUGCAGGCAGGAGUCGGUCGACGUGUGAAGUAAUAGUAGUAGAUGCAGGCAGGAGUCGGUCUACUUGUCACGGACGUGAUGCCUAUAUACAUGAUCAUGCCUAGAUAAUCUCAUAAUUAUUCGCUUUUCUAUCAAUUGCUCGACAAUAAUUUGUUCACCCACCGUAAUACUUAUGCUAUCUUGAGAGAAGCCUCUAGUGAAAUCUAUGGCCUCUGGGUCUAUCUUUUAUCAUAUUUGCUUUCAAUCUACUUUUAUUUGCAUCUUUACUUUUUGCAUCUAUAUUAUAAAAUAUCAAAAAUAUAUUUAUCUUAUCAUAUUAUCUCUAUCAGAUCUCACUUUCGCAAGUGGCCGUGAAGGGAUUGACAACCCCUUUAUUGCGUUGGUUGCGAGUUUUUUGUUUGUUUGUGUAGGUGCGUGGGACUUUCUUGGAGCUUCCUACUGGAUUGAUACCUUGGUUCUCAAAAACUGAGGGAAAUACUUACGCUACUGUGCUGCAUCACCCCUUCCUACAUGGGAGUUUCAGAUCCCUUGGUGAUGGAGUGUUUGUCGCUGCGAGAUGGAGUACGCUUUGCUUGUCUUCGAGGAUUUCCGCAUGUGAUUAUGGAAGUCGACGUUUAGAACUAGUGAAGUUCUGGUAAUCUCGCCACAAUUCUCGUUCAAUUGUGGCUCCUUUACUUUUGGAAAUAGGAGAGCUCUGUACUACUUUUUCUUCAUUUGGUAUUCAGCAUGUAAAUCGGGCGGCGAUCAUUCCGGCGCAUUUGUGUGCGAAGCGUGCUUGCACACUGAAUGUGACGGAAAGCUGGCUCGAUGAAACCCCUAGCUUCUUGGUCACCAGCCUUUUGGCUGACUGCACCGAGUGUGCUUUCAAUGAAUAAAGCUCUCCAAUUUUCCCGCAAAAAAAGACCGGCCGAGCGCUCGGCCGGUCUCCUCCCUCACGCGUGUCCAGUGCCGGGGCCAGGAGCCUUAUCUCCUCCACUGCUUCUCUUUUCUUAGCCACAAACACAGUGCGUCUUCAUCCUCUAUCCAAUCCCCUCCCUUUCCCUUUCCUUCCUCAUUUCAUCUCUAGCGAGAGCUCUCCACCACACCAUCUCCUCUAGCCAUGUCGGCACGCGAGGUCGCCGGUGUCGAAGGCGGCUGGGCUUGUGUGCUGCAACCGGCCAUGACGGGCAGCCGCGCGGCCGAGGCAAUGGCCUGGCCAUGCACCGCUCACGCAUCCGUUGUCCUUCGGUGUCGUGCCGCACGCUUCGACGAGCCUAAGCUACGAGCGGCGCCGGCCAGCGGAGAAGAUGUGAACUGCAGCGAGCGUGCUACAACCCGCCUUACCAGAAGCUGGGACCGCGUCAUGGGGUGCUGCAACCGGGAAGGCGUGAAAGAGUUGCGACAGGUUGGGCGGCAUGCGGCAACGAUGUCGACGAUGCUGGAACCAGCCAGCCUUUUUGCUAGAAUUGGCGACACGAGGUGCUACAACCAUCCCAGCAAAAUGUUGGAACCAACAGCCGCAGCCUCCAGCAGGUUUUUUUUGCUUCAACCAUCCAUUGUUUUUGCUGGAAGCAUCAAGCAUUUUUGCUGGAACCAGCUAUUUUCCAUGGAUGCGAGUACAAAAGCUUUUUGCGUGUUUUUGCUGGGAUCGCCAUUUUUGGGCGGCCGGUGAGAAAUUUUGCUUCAACCAGCCAUCUGUUUUGUUGGAAGCAUCAAGAUUUUUUGCUACCACCUUGUUUUGAUUUCUUUUUGCUGGAACUAGCCUAAAAAUUGCUAUCACCUUCUUUCUAUUUUGUUGGAACCAACAUUUUUUUUGCUUCAAUCGAGUAACUCGAGAUUUUUAGUUUUGCUUAAAUUUUCUUGCUGGAUGCGGCCAAUUCAUUUGCUACAAACAACUUUUUGAAAGCUACAACCAAAGAAAGGCGACGAGGAUGAAGGCUAGGGACUGCGACCAGUGAGGAGUUGCCGUGAAUCCCGGCAACGAGAUCUAGCAUGGAGCGAUAGGGAGGCAGCUUGGUGCUGCGACCGAGGGGCAGCGGGAGAGCGCGGCGUGCGGAACUGGCGAGCUGCACGAGAUGCGGUUUCGCGGGAGAUGCGGAAGGCGACGGGUGUUGCGUGAGGAAGAAAAAGCUUUUGGGGACAAAGCAUUUUUUUAAUCCAAUAGACGAGAUGGCUGACAUGUGACGACGUGGGCGUGACCGGCCAAAACAUUGGGCCGGCGCGCCGGCGCCAAUCAGUCACCAAAAAAAAGAUGAAGACACAUAUCUUGUAUUCAAAAGGCCAAAAACCAAACAUAAAAUAAGCAGUUAGCAAAAGGAAGCAGUUAGCAAUAGGAGAGGCGAAAAGGAGGUUCCCCUCGAUCCCUCGUUCCGCGAACGGCCGGAUUGACGGUCCCCUCCCUCUCCGGCUGCUGCUUUGGCAGCGGGAGAUUGGGGGGGGGGCACAGAUCCGUCCUUGAAGCGUGUAGAUAGUAGGGUAGUUGUCUCCAGCGACGCUGGCAAGGUGGUGGUGGUGACGUUGCUUUGGAAUAAAAGUGUUGGAGGUCGAUUCCCAUCUCGGCGAGGCCAUUUGUGGCGGAGCCGAUGAUCUUCCGGCAUUGGUGGCUCGAGGAUCCAUUGAUCUAUGGAGUAUGCGUGGACUUCAGAUCAAAGCUCUCACUGGUUUUCGGUCGACUUCAAUGGUGGAGCACUACUAGGGAAAAGUCUGUACACAGAACUUUAGCAGUAGCGCGUGUUAAAAAAGGGCGCUACUGCUAGGAAGCAGUAGCGCGCGCGAAAAAACCACGCUGCAGAUACAAGUAUAGCAGUAGCGCGUCUGUCUGUAAAAGCGCUACUACAAAAAUUCCCACAACUAAGCCGAUCGGCUACACAUAGUAGUAGCGCUCUUUUAGAAACAACGCUACCACUAACUUUGUUGUAGCAGCGCGUUUAUGUGUAAGGCACUACUGCUAACAAAAAUAAAAUAAAAUGAAAAACAAGUAGAAAAGUAAAUGAAAAUGAAAGAAAUAGAAAAAAAGAGAAAGGAAAAAAAAUAAAAUGUAAAGAAAAUUAAAUGAAAAAAAGGGAAAAAGGAGAAAGGAAUAGCAGUAGCGCGUUUCAGGAAACGCGCUGUGGCUAACUUAGCUAUAGCGCGUUUUCAGGAACGCGCUACCGUUAUGUUUCACUUAAACAACGGUUUCCCCCCCGGCCACCACUUCUUCCCCAAAUCCCUCGCCCUCGCCGCCAUCUUCCCAAUUCACCGUCGCCCCACUUCGCCGCCGUCUCCUACCGGCGUGGACGCCCGCAACCUCACUGUCUUCCCCCGAGGCCGCCCUCAGCCUCACCGCUGCCGCCCGAGGCCACCCUCGACCUCACCGUCGCCGCCCUCCACCUCACCGCCGCCCGAGCCCGCCCAGGACCGCCGUUGCCCGUGCCCGAGCCCGCCCUCUCCGCCCCUGCCUCCGUCGCCGAGCACCUCCCCACCACCGUCUCUCCCCUCUCUGUAAGUCCCCCACCCCUCCCACCCACUCCUCUCUCUCUCUGCAUUUUAGAGCAAAAAUUAUUAGAGCAAAAGUUAGUCUAUAGCAAAAAAUUUAGUUAAGAGCAAAGGAUGUUAAGUAGUAGAUGUUAGAGCAAAAAUUAGUUUAGAGCAAAAAAUUUGGUUUACAGCAAAAGUUAGUUAGGGCAGUAGGGUUUAAUUAGGGUAGAUGCUGCUUGUAUAGUAUAUAGUGAUACUAGUAGAUGUUAAUUAGGUUAGGGCAGUAGUGGUACUAGUACAUGUUAAUUAGAUGUUUUUCAGUUAGGGCAGUAGAGUUUUGCUAGGUUAAUUAGGUUAGUAGUGCUGCUAGUAGUAGUGGUACAGUAGGUUAAUUAGGUGAAGUUAAAUGAAUAACCUAAAUGAAUGAAAUUAGUAGUUAACUGAAUUUUUUUCCUUUCAUCAUUAUAGAGCACUAAAGUUAACUGAAUUUUGUUCUAUUAGCAGUUAAUUGAAUUUUCUUCUACACUUUGUUUUUGAAUUAGCUUGUGAAAUUUGGACAUGUGGUUGCUCGUGUAUAUUUGGACAUGUGUUGCGGUGUCGAAGAGGGAUAUUUGAACACCGUUUCCAGGAAUGAUGCUGAGUGGCCUAUGUUUUGCCGGAAUGUUGAUUCAUUUCUGUUCCGGCAAAUUUCAGGUUCUCGAUUUGUCCACUUUUUAGCAAUGGUCAUGCCGAAAUUUUCCGUGAAUUUCGGUAUGACUUGUGCUACAAACUAGGACAUAUCGAGUGUCCAGGAUUUGCCGCACCAGAAAGGAGUCAACAUUCCUGCAAAACAAUAGGCCUUUUUUAUGUCAUUAUUCAUUUUAUUAGGUCUAGAAUUAAUUGACUAGAUUUAAUCAUAGGAAACAUGGCUAGCAACGAUGAAGGACAGGGUUCUGGUGAUUGCGACGAUGUCUACCGGGUGGCAGACGAAUUUUUUAGCCUUGCCGACGAUCAACCAAUGUUGUUGCUGGGCCCACCGGUGGCAUCGAGGACUGAGACCGACACACAGACCGGUGCUGAGACUGAGACCGGUGCUGAGACUCAGACCGGCAUCGAGACCGGCGCUGAGACUGAGACCGGCGCUGCCUCGGGGAGCGGAGCCGGUGUAGAACCGAAAGCAAAGAGGCAACGGCUUCCUAACAAACUCAGGACUACUAGACUGGUGGUCACGGAGGUGGACGACGGCAAUUUUGAGCCAAAGGCGCCCGAGGAAGCGCGUCGAUGCUACGACAAUCAAAUAGGCUGCAUCGUACGGACAACCGCCACCAUCAACGACGAGAAACUACAGAAGAUAGAAAAUAUGAGGAGCUCCCUCCUAAAGAAGUUUCACCAGAUAUUCUUGUUCCCGGGCCGGAAUGAGAAGGAUUAUGAAGAUCCAGAUGAGGACCCGGCAAUGAAGAAGAUAAACAAACACGCCAUGACCAAGUUUAGCGACGCGUUGGCCGUCUGGAAAAAUCAAGUGAAAGCAAAGAUCAUCGACAAGAAGGAACCCUACUCUGAGAUUGUAAAGGAUAAUCCGACAAUCACGGAAGAGCAGUUUCAAAUAUUUAAGGAGGCUUGCGAGGCCGAAGCUGCCAGAAAAAAGUCUAAGUACAUGAAGGGGCUUCAAGAGAGGAACAUUGGGAGCCACCACCUCGGAAGCCGUGGUUACGGCGGAAAAAGGUCCAAAUGAGCCAAGGAGGACGCGGAAGCCGCGAGUCUGGGCAUCCCAGACCCCUUGGCGGAUUUCACCGUCCCGCAGGAGCGUGACGUCCUCAGGGACCGGCACCGUUGGGAUCCAGUGAAGAAGGUUUACGAGACAAAACUGGUCAUUACGGAGUUCAUGAGACGGCUGGUAAUUUUAGUUUCUGAUCAAUUCGAAUGCACACGUUAGUCAUAUUUGUAAACGAUCCUUGUGCCUUUUGCAGAGAGAGCAGCACCGGAUUGCGGCCGAAAGCGACUCGCCGUCUGAGGCAUUGACGAGGCCCAAGUGGGACACUCCAUUCAACCGGGCGUUGAACAUAUUGAAACGACAACCGGUGGAUACUCAACCGUCAUAUGGACGCGUGCACGGUGUCGGAGACGGCGCCACGUGGAAGAAGUACUACCUUGAGACCACGGAGGAGAGAAAGGAAAGAGGGAGGUUAACUAAAGAAAACAUCGACAAGAAGUUUGAGAUUGCGGUUGAGAAGAAAUCAUCUCAGAUAAUCACAACAACGGUAGCUGCCGCAAAACAGGUGGUUGCAGAUUUGUCUACUUCCUUGGUGAUGGGCGUUUUCACUUGGACAAGGCAAAAUCUAGAAAAAAAUGCAGAGGACUUUCCCCUUGCUGACUUCUUGGGGAGCAGCUCGACUAGCGUUGCACCAGCACCUGCUCCCGCACCGGCUCCUGCACCGGACGUGCUCGGUGGUGCUUCAUCUUUGGCUGAGCUCGACGCCCUCACGGUAUCUGUCACACCGGCCCCCUUCAAUAUAAAUGUAUAAUCUCCCGUUUUCGUUGCCUUUCUAUGUCUCACGUCGCAGACUUUUCUUUGCAGGCCGACGAAACCCCGUACACCAUAUUGUACAUCAUCGGCGACCAGAAGGUGGACGUGGGGAAGGCGACGAUAAUGGAGCCGAAGGAACCAUUGUUCCACAGCCGGCCGAUCCCCCCGAAUGUCUUCAAGGUUUCCGUGGCCAGUGUCAAACCGGGCCACGAGAAUUUGCCUCCUCCAAUACUAGUGGGGGAUGACGACGAGACACCGCGUCGGCUUGGUGAUUGUUGCAAUGGGUGGGUCCUGUUGUGGCCAAAGAGUCUGCCUCGUCUGGAGGCGGCCGGGAGCACACCCACGAGCACGCAGCCUCAGCAAGGUAUGAACAUCAACACCCCACCUACCCAAUUAGCGUCGGGUGUCAGGUUGGGUGAUAGCGGACGAGGUAAGGAGGAGGCUCCAUUAGUCGCUGAUGACAUCGCCAUGGAUGAGGAUGAGGAUGACGAUGGCGCUGAAUAGUAUGUCUAUACUGGCGCCUCCUCAGGGUUUGAGCGUCAUGAGUCGGUGCCUGAAAUACCGUCUCAACGUAUUAUGGACGACCUUCCGGUAGUAAAGAAGUCUAGGAAGAGAGCGAGGAAAGGCAAAAAAGCUGAUUCUAUGAUCCAGCCGCCUCAGCAGCCUCGGCUUCAGGACCGUAUAGAUAUCCCCGAUGCGGAUAAAUGGCAUAUCCCCGGUCAACCAAUCCUACCUGCAACAGCGCUACGAGCCAGAUACGACGAUCUAAGGAGACUUCAUGACGAUGUGCUGCGGGUAUAGAAAGGCCUCAUCGCCUCGAAAGAUCCAGGAUACCCACUCUAUGUGGUUAACGUUCCGCGGCAAAUGUUGUACGUCGACAGCUUCCCCGCGGAUAAGUUCUUCCUCCUAUUCGAUUACAUAUUCGACAUGUUUCACGUGAAGAAGCUGGAUUUUACGUUUGUCCGCCUUUAUGCCUUGCACAUGAACUACAUCAUCGGGGUUGAGCAGAUAUCUCAUAUCUGUGUCGCUGACCUGUACUACAUGCACGAGGGCUUCUUGGGAGUCUGUGCAAAGCAUCGUGAAUACGCGAGGGAUUACAUCGUCAGUUUCAUGCUCGCCAAUAAGGACAAGGAAGCGAUUCUCGUGCCUUAUCAUCCCGUGUAAGUUAUCCGCGCUGCUAUCCUUCCUUCGAUUUCAAUCAUUCAUUUGCACGGUGGAGGCUAAUUAAUUUGAGGUGUACUUAUUUGGCGCAGCGGCGGGCGCGCCGUCCUCAUCAUCCUCUACCCCCGAUUCUUCGACGCUCUUUACUUGGACUCGUCGAAGAACAUUCAUAAAAAGGAUUACACCCACAUCAAGGAUGUUCUUGACAGUGCUAUGUUUUACUACCAAGCAAGUGGUGGAGAGGUCAGGGACAAGAAGAGAAGGGGCGGCAGGCCCACCUUCAUCCAUAAGACCGACUUCUGCUGCAUCCAGCAACCGAACGAUUCUCUUAAUGAUGGAUUCUAUGUCCUACACCACAUGCUGGAGUACAGACGGGAUCACCAGAACCUUCGCAUAUCACCUAGAUCCGGCGAUGCCCAUAUUCUGCAAUGGGCGAAGGACAUAGGAGAUAUCGAGGAUCAUCGACUUCGAGCUGAGUUCUAUAACAUCCAGCGGGAACUUGCCCAAAUCAUCAUGAAGGAGGUCGUCGAAAAAACAGGGAUGUUCUACGGAGAAGGACAAAUGUCGCGGUAAGACGUCCGAACAUGGAUAGCCUCUCAGCGUCUCGACAUGAAGCCUUUCACUAAGCUCGACGACUAUCUCCCUGACUUGGAUGGAUGGCAUGACAUGUUGGAGUGAUUGUCGAUAUAUGACAAUGUGUCCGUUUAGUCGAUACUUUCUGUAUGACAGAACUUUGAGUUAUGCACGGUGAAACUUUAUUUGUGAUGUAAUUAAACCGUCCUCCUCCUCGACUAGCGAAAAUCACUCUAGUUAGGGCAUUUUGGGGUACGAUGAACUUUGUUAUUUAUGCUUAUGAUAUGUUGUUUCUAUUUUUGCCAAGUCUGUCUCUUUCUGUUGCUCAACUAUAUAUGUUGCAUAUCAUCGACUCAUGUGACGAUGCAGGUGCAUAGAUCAUAGAUGGCGAAGAAGUGCUACGCCAGGAGUAUAUAUACGAUAAGUGGCCGGAGUGUCAGGCCCAGGUGUACCAGUUUCCGGUUUCCGAGCGACAGGCAGUAGUUAGUUUAGGUUCACGCUAAUGCGAGAGAGGGAUACGAACUCAUGUACUCAAAGUGAUAGCUCUUCUCGCGUAUAUCAUUGUUUAGAUGGAUGACGAUGUAUUUGCAAGUAAUCGAGACUUGUAUCGCUAUUUUCGAGAUGAUGACGAGAGACCACUUUCUGUUGGAUGAUGAUUAUGAUGAUGACAUAAUUUGAUGAGACUAAUUGUAUGUAUAUGCUAUGAUUACAUUUGUAUGUGUAUGAUAUGCUAAAGAUUAUUGUAUAAAGCCUAUUCAAAUACAAAACAAAUACAAAACAAAUAUGCAGGGAAAAAAUUAAUAAAACUAGUAGUAGCGAGGGGGGAAAUUUAGCAGUAGCGCCGCCUUACCAGUAGCGCUUCCCAGUAAACAGCGCUGCAGAUAAUAUCAGCAGCGCCCUUUUCUAAAGAGCGCUACAGCUAUUCAUGUAUAUCAGUAGUGUGGGACAACAGGCGCUACUGCUAUACGUUAGCUGUAGCGCCUUAUUAGUAGCGCCGGUCCCCGAGCUACUGAGAGGCCCAAAAUCCGCGCUGCUGCUAGGCUUUUCCCUAGUAGUGGAGCAUCACCCGAUCUAUCCUCUCUCCAGAGUGAUGGUCCUCUCAGGCCGAGGUUGUCUACUUCCCGUUCGUGUUCAUUCCGGACGCAGUCUACAAGGUCUCGCCGGCUCUGCCUAUGAGCGGCGGCGGCAGUAGCGGCGGCGCGCCGUCAGCCCGCGCUGGUUUGUUGGGUGGGUUGGUUCCCCAGGGACCCGGUUGUAACUUCUAUAUUUCUUGUGGUGCUUUGUACCACUAUUCCUUUGCAAUUUAAUCUGAGGUCCUUCCCGCAAAAAAACAAAAAACCAAUAUGACCAGCUUGCGGGGGCUGAUCGGGCGGCUUCAUGUCUUGCUGGCCCGGCAAUAUCCGAUCUCCAGGGGCGGGCUGCCCCUGUCGUGGCGUCCCGGUGGUGGGGGAGGCUUCGUGGCAGUGGUGGGCCCCUUCUUCCUUCUCCUCUUCUCUGGCGGCUGGGAUGGGCGAGGGAGCGCAACGGGUGGAUUCCACCGUUGGUUGCGAGCGUUUAUGUUUUUUAGAUGCGUACUUCGGGUACCACCAGAUCUGAAUGUAUGGUCCUGAUGAAAUAAAAACGGCAUUUAUCAUCCCUUUCGGGUGCUUUUGCUAUAUCAUGAUGUCAUUCGGACUUAAGAAUGCAGCCGCAAGUUUUCAGCGCAUGAUCCAAAAGUGGUUGCAAAAGCAGAUCAGUCGGAAUGUGAAGGCCUACAUGGAUGACAUCAUGGUCAAGUCUAGCAAAGGUUCCGACCUCCUAGUAGACCUCGUCGAGACCUUCAUGAACCUGGGGCUUUUGGAAUCAAGCUUAAACUUGUGAAAUGUGUUUUUGGGGUUCCAGCUGGCAGACUACUCGGUUUCCUUGUUUCCGAACGAGGAAUCAAGACCAACCCCGAAAGAAUUGGCUCAAUUAUCCGAAUGAAGAAACCAGAACAUCUUCAUGACGUCCAACGGCUCACGGGCUGUCUUGCAGCCUUAAGCAGAUUCAUAUCAAGACUCGGAGAGAAAGCCCUGCCGCUUUACCAGCUAAUGAAAAAACAAACAAAUUUGAAUGGAGGAAUGAAGCGCAAGCUGCGUUCGAGGAACUCAAAGCUAUGUUUUCCACCAACUGAUGCUUGUCACUCCGAGUGACAAAGAACUGUUGCUGCUAUACAUAUCAGCUACAAGUCAAGUGAUCAGCACAGUACUCACAGUCAAACGUGAGGAACAGGUUAAAACCUUGAAAGUGCAGAGGCCCGUAUAGUACAUUUCAGAGGCGUUGAGCCCUUCCAAGCAGCGUCAUCCAUACUAUCUGAAACUGGUUUAUGGAAUCUAUCUGACUGCAAAGAAGGUGGCACACUACUACCAAGAGCAUUCGGUCACGGUGGUCAAUGAUGCUUCCUUAUCAGAAAUCAUGAAUAACAUAUAUGUAACUAGCCGAUUGGUCAAAAGGGCCAUUGAACUCUUGCUUUUGGACAUCAAAUUUGAGGCGAAAAAAGCUAUCAAGUCACAAACUCCAGUAGAUUUUCUAGCCGAUUAGUUGGAGGCAUGUAUGCUGGCUUCCUCCCUUGAUUCAAGUCUCUUGCCAGAUUGGUUGAGGCCAGAUCGGAGGUGACAGGAGAGGAUCUCAAGCUCAUUGUUGAUGGCGCUAGCGUGAUUCAGAUGAUGUGACAGCAAUGGAGGCGACCUAGGAGAUAGCGUCUCUUCAUCGUUGUGGUUGUUUUUUUAGAAAAGGAGAAGGACCCCUGGCCUCUGCAUCUGGACGAUGUAUGUAGCCAUUUUAUUAAUUAUUCACACAAGAUCUUACAAAGUCAUACAACAGUAAGACUAAAGUCGCCGUCUAGGCAACAUCCGUCGCUACUCCUAUCCAGUUGAUGAAGCGAUGCUGAUAGUCUGGGCCUAAUACCAAACAGACCUCGCAGCCAAACUUAACACCUAAGACUCGAGGUCCCAACCAGGACGCCUGCCGGGUAUGGGGCACCCACCAAUCCGACGCACUCCUCAACCAGAACGCCUGCCGGGUAUGAGGCCGCCACAGCCACCUGCCACCAAUCCAUCUUCAGUGUUGUACUGUUGCAUCUAUCUUGCCCAGUCUAGCUGCCGUCAACGCCACCAUGACGCCAGACAGUGCCACCUCCCUGCGCGCGUCCAUUGUCACACAUCUGUCGGCGAGACCCCGCUACGCCACGCCGCCGAGACCAGUCGUCGAUGACGUGAUAGACACCACGCCGCUCCACCACCUUGCCAGGCCAGCUGUCGACGCCACCAUGGCGCCAGACAGCGCCACCGCCCUGCACGAGGCCAUCACGCCACGUCUAGCACCGAGACUCCGCUGCUCCAUGCCGCUGGGACCCGCCGUCGUCGACGCGAGAGAAGGCACGCCACACCACCUCACGCCUCUUCCAUCCGGCGCCGCUCCACAAACGAUGCCCCCUAGAGGGAACACAGCACAAAAACACCGCCAUCGUCCGAUCCGGUGAUCUUAGGAUUUCUCUCGGUGCGGCACGAGCAGGUUGACGAUAGUUGCUUGACGAUGCCUUCAUCAAGGUAACGACGUAGACGCCGCCAUCGCCCGCCAUGACAGGAGUCGGCUCGGUUUCCACCAGCGACUAUGUCUCCCCAACUCGCCACCGGUGCUAAUAGUGGGAUCCAAGAUCCGUCACUACCAGCCUGGCCAACUGCCUUCGAUGGAGAAGGCAGCCACCACCACCAUGCCCGGGCCAAGAGACCCGAACGUCCUCGUGCCGCAAAGAUUACCAAAGGGGGGGGGGGGUCUCCUCUUGACGUUGUCGAGACGAAGCGCAGCCGCAGUGGAUCUCGAUCUAAACCCCUCGGGCCUAGAUCAGAUCUCAUCGUAGCCAAAAUCUCAUCCGCCAGCGGCCGCCGGAAAUCUCCUGGCCACCGCCAACCCGCUGCGCACUGCCAUUGGAGGAGGAGGGAGAUGGACGUCGCUCCCCCCACGCGUUACCGCUGGCCGAGGACUGCGCCGCCGCUGCCGCCUCACCACAAGGGCUUCGCCCCGCGGCGUCCUCAGCGACGGCGGCGGUAGUGGGAGGCGAUGGAGGGGGAGGGCUGAGGGCGGUGUAGACGGGAACUCCCCGGGGGCGGCGCGGCGCCGCCGCCUCGGGGGAGAGAGGUCGGGGGAGCCAUGCGGUUGUGGCGUCAUAUAUACUUCUUUGAAACCUUGUCUGCUGCUUGCUGAAAUACUACUACUUACUUCAGUGCUAGCUGUAUAAGUAUUAUAGUGUGUACUGUAUGACUAUGGAGAAAAUUGUACUAGAAUUUUUUUGGGAUGAAGCUGUGGUAUAAAAUACCCUGGAAAAUUAUCUUAUUCUUAUCUGUGACAACAACAUAUGCCCAGCUGGUCUGGUCUCAUGUAUAUGUAUAGGUAUAGCAGCCGGAGCCCGACCUGGUUUACAUAUAAAGAGUAGAAGAAGCAAUCAGUCAAUCAAUCUGGUUUAUAUUAAAGCUGAUGGCUAGUUGGGAAGCCGCCUAGAAUUAUUCUGCUCAUUUGUUCAACCAUCAUAACAUCCCACACAAAUGAUUAUUCUGCUCAUUUAUUAUCGAAUUAUUAUUCGAUAAUCAAAAUAUGGCAGAGUACGUAUUCAAAUACACAUCACAUCAUAAGCCAAGGGCGACCAAGCCAAGUCUCCAACGCGAGAAUACAUUUCCACUAGAAACUAGAAAAACUUAUAGAUAUCACCGUCCGGUUGUGUGUGUAUGUUUAAAUAAAUUAGGUGCUAAUUAAGGUGCAGAGAGACAAUUACUUUUUUCCGAUAAAAGGGCGAUUUUACUAUCUCAAAUGUAGCAUCAAGCGGAUACAAAACAUUAUGAGUAACACCCGGCCUCUGCAUAGUUAGGAUGCACACAGCCAAACACCAAAUUCUGACACUAGAAAAUGAAACAAAACCGACAAAUCGGCAACAAGUAGAGUCCUAUAAACCGACACUUUGCCUAUGUUGAAAGCGGCGGUGAAUCGAUCUGAAGGUUAUGCUGCCACCCAUGUUGAGAAAAAACCUACGUAACCACCUGCUCCCAUCACGUACACACCGUCUUGAACAUCGGUUGGUGCUCAAGUCAACUGUUCCAGGCAAAAAAUAGACAAUGACUUGUACACUCAAGUAAUGGCCGGCUGCUAUACAAGUAGUAUAUACUACGUAAGUUACUAACAGCUCCAGACAAUGACUAAUAUGAAAAAAAAAUAGGCAAAUGAUGGAAGCACCCAAGUCAUGGGCUGCGAAUAACUUCCAGAGUAGCUAGACCAAAAAAAAACCAUUUAUACUCGGGCUUCUCGGGCGGUACCGACAUCACCCUUGAUGGCACAGCCACGGUUACACCAGAUGGGGUUCUCAAGCUCACCAAUGACACUCUUCACCUCAAGGGCCAUGCUUUCUACCCAACCCCAUGGCGAUUCCGCAAGUCGCCAACGGGGCGGUGCAAUUUUUCUCCAUCACAUUCGUGGUCGGCAUGGUCCCUGUCUACUCCGAUCAAUGUACUGAUGGCAUGACUUUCUUGAUAUCUCCCACCAAGGAUUUCUCGGGUGCACAACACUCUCAAACCUGAGCCUCCUCAACAAAACAAGCAAUGGCAAGCCAAGCAACCAGAUAUUUGCAGUCGAGCUUGAUAGCAGCCAAAAUACAGAGUUCGGCGACGUCGAUGACAACCAUGUCGGCAUCGACAUCAAUAGCCUCACCUCCACUGAAGCCCGACCGUCUGGCUUCUAUGAUGACAAGAGCAACGGCGUCUUCAACAACUUGUCCCUCGUUAGCCGCAAGGAAAUGCAAGUGUGGGUAGAUUAUGAUAGAGAUACCACUUAGAUCAGUGUGACCUUGGCCCCCCUCAAGGUAGCCAAACCGUGGAGGCGACUAGUUUCAACCACGUACAACGGCCUCUCAACAGUACUACAAGAUCAGUCCUACCUCGGAUUCUCGGCUUCAACUGGUCCGAUAAACUCACUGUAUUGUGUGCUUGGCUGGAGCUUGGGCAUAAACCGUCCUGCACCAGACAUUGACAUCACCAAGCUGCCAAAGCUACCUCGGAUUGGCCCCAAACCUCAGCCCAAAUUUAUGCAGAUCGUCCUACCAAUAGCCACUGCCACAUUCAUCUUUCUUGUUGGAACAACUAUAUAUAAUUCUAUUGGUGCGGAGGCGAAGGAGGUAUGCCGAGCUACACGAAGAUUGGGAGGAUGAGUAUGGGCCACACCCCUUCCUUCUCCNNNNNNNNNNNNNNNNNNNNNNNNNNNNNNNNNNNNNNNNNNNNNNNNNNNNNNNNNNNNNNNNNNNNNNNNNNNNNNNNNNNNNNNNNNNNNNNNNNNNNNNNNNNNNNNNNNNNNNNNNNNNNNNNNNNNNNNNNNNNNNNNNNNNNNNNNNNNNNNNNNNNNNNNNNNNNNNNNNNNNNNNNNNNNNNNNNNNNNNNNNNNNNNNNNNNNNNNNNNNNNNNNNNNNNNNNNNNNNNNNNNNNNNNNNNNNCAUACGGCCACAUUUAUAAAUAAAUAAAGUAGUUCAACAAUGUCUUGCAAAGUGCUGCAACAAAGGAUACUGGCUCACAAAGAGCUAGCAAAAUAAAACAAGGCCCAAAAGCCACAACCGGCUGGCAUAGUAAAGAGAGAUAGGUAAACUAAGCGCCUAUCCUAUUACAUGACCGCCAUUCAAACCGGUUGAAGAUAUCCCGCGCUACCAUCUCCCACCGGACAGAUCCAGUAACCAAACGCGCCCUGGCCUCCGUCGGAGUGAGUAAUGACCACGUACGAAUUAGCGCAGUAGCCCCGAAUAGAACCUGCAAAAAAUGAAUAGUUGUUGUUUUGUUAAAAGCCAAGUCAUUUCUGCAGUUCCAAAUUGCCCAUAACAACGCACAUGCUCCCACUCGAAUUUGUCUAGCUGUUUCGGCCUCUAUACCAACCAGCCACGUUCCAAACAACGACCUGACCGAAUUCGGAGGAGUAAUGUUAAAGGCAAUUUGCACCGAGGGCCACAACACCCUCGCCAUCGGGCAAUCAAAGAAAAGAUGCUUGAUAGUUUCAUCCCGAUCACAGAAACUACACCUAGUAGAUCCUGUCCAGUUGCGCUUAAUCAAAUUAUCUUUCGUUAGAACGACUUGUUUAUGCACAAACCAUAUAAACACUUUGAUUUUUAGAGGAACCUUAACUUUCCAAACGUGUUUGGAACUAGGAAUAACACUAGAAUUGAUGGCAUCAAUGUACAUGGACUUGACUGUGAAUUCACCAGAUUUAGUAAGCUUCCAACACAACUGAUCGGGCUGAUGAGUAAGCUGAACCUCCAUGAGUCUACUCACCAGAUGAAUCCAAGCCUCCCACCGGUCACCCACAAGCACCCUCCUAAAUUGGAUGUUAAGAGGAGCAGAUUGCAAACUCGUUGCAACCAGAGCAUCCCGUCGCUGCACAAUGCGAUAAAGCGCCGGAUACUGGAGUGCCAGUGGUGCAUCACCUAGCCAGGUAUCUUUCUAGAAUCGAGUGUUAUUGCCAUCACCGAUAACAAACUUUGUUCUGUUAAAGAAAGUAGCUUUGACCCUCAUUAACCCCUUCCAGAAGGGCGAAUCAGUGGGUCGAGCUGUCACCUGCGACAAGGUCUUAGAGUACAGAUACUUGUUACGAAGAAUCUGCGCCCAAGUUGCCUCAGUCUCGGCAGAUAACUUAUACAGCCACUUAUUGAGAAGGCAUCUGUUCUUAACUUCAAGGUUCUCAACCCCAAGACCCCCUUGGUCUUUUGGUCGGCAGAUGACAUCCCAUUUGGCUAGACGGUACUUUCUCUUAGUUUCAUCGCUCUGCCAGAAGAAACGAGACCGAUAGAAGUCCAGCCUUUUCCUAACUCCAACUGGAACCUCAAAAAAGGAUAAAAGAAACAUAGGCAAACUCGUGAGCACCGAAUUAAUAAGAAUCAAUCGGCCUCCAUACGACAUAAGUUUGCCCUUUCAGCAGCUCAGUUUCUUCUCAAAACGAUCCUCGAUACACUUCCAUUCGUUGUUAGUUAACUUACGAUGGUGAAUGGGGAUACCAAGGUAAGUGAACGGAAGAGUCCCCAAAUCGCAACCAAACAGUUGCUUGUAAGCAUCUUGUUCCUCUUUGGCUCUACCCCUUCCUUCUCCUACAAGGAUUUAGUCCAUGCUACUCAAGGAUUUCAUGGUAAGAAAAGAACCUACUUGGCCAUGGAGGAUUUGGGAAGGCGUAUAAAGGCGUGCUUCCGGUCUCUAAACUCGAGGUUGCGGUGAAGAGGGUGUCCCACGAGUCAAAGCAGGGGAUAAAGGAGUUCAUCGCCGAGAUUGUUAGUAUCGGCCGUAUCCGCCACCGCAACAUAGUCCAGUUACUGGGUUAUUGUAGGAGAAAAGGUGAACUUCUAUUGGUCUAUGACUAUAUGUCAAAUGGUAGUCUUGACCAGUACCUACAUGCAUCAUCAAGAACUGGAGGAGGAUUUGAAAUCACUCUAGAUUAGGCUCGGAGAUUUGAAAUCAUCAAAGGCGUUGCAUCCGGCUUAUUCUACCUUGAUGAGAGGUUGGAGAAAGUUGUCAUCCAUCGAGACAUCAAAGCAAGCAAUGUGCUUCUCGAUAGUGAAAUGAAUGGACGCCUAGGUCUAGGUGACUUUGGCCUUUCAAGGUUGUAUGACCAUGGCACCGAUCCACAAACAACGCGUGUUGUCAGCACCAUGGGGUAUUUCGCUCCGGAGCUAGCGCGCACCGGUAAGGCAACGCCUCUAACAGAUGUGUGCGCAUUUGGCAUUUUCAUCCUCGAUCGAGGUAACUUGCGGACGGAGGCCAAUUAUUGACAACGGUCAGGAAGAGGAUGACGGUUCGGAGAUAAUGAUUGACUGGGUUGUGGAGCAUUGGCGCAAAGGGUCGCUCACAGACACGCUGGACAGGAGGCUACGAGGCAGCAACUGCAACCCCGACGAGGUACAUCUGGCGUUAAAGCUGGGAUUGUUGUGUGCGCAUCCGUUCGGCAAUGUAAGGCCCAGUAUGCGGCAAGUCAUGCAAUACCUCGACGGUGACACGCCCCUCUCUGAGCUGAUGCCCACAAACUUGAGUUAUAGCAUGAUGGGCGUAUUGCAGAAUGAUGGUUUCAGCCAGUACGCAUCAUUGAGUGCCGCAGUUAGCAGCAGGAAUGGAAGUCAUUCUGAAUAAGUUAGCAGCUGGUAAGUCCCUGUUUCUUGUCAGUUGUCAGCUUGAAUUAAUAGAUCUUGUAAACACUUAUAGAUCUAUUUAAAAUUAAUAGGACAUCAUAUAUGUAGGGUUUCAAACCCAACUUUCUGUCUUCUGAACAUAUAUACAUACGCCAAAGUUGAAGCUUUUCUCUCUGGAACCUGAAUUACUUACUGUCAGGACAGGAGCACGGCCAAAGCUUCACUGAAGAAAGGUACUUUGAAGAAGCGAAUCACAGCACGGUUCAGUUAGAUUUGAAGAGAAUACCUAGCAUGUGCCAUUGGAUGAUGCUGAGACAUUAGGCAUUCAGAUUCAGAUGCUGCAGUUAAAGAGAAUUGAUCAGUUUUUUUUUUGGCCAAAACAAUAGAGCAUGAGAAACUAUUGUUUUUUGUGGUUGUUAUGAAGAUCAUUGGCCGGCCCUCUGAAAUUCGAAUAUAUGAGUAUAUAUGUUUGCUCUAAGUAAUUAAACGUAUUGACAGGCGGCCGGAGCAAUCUUGAGAAACAGCUUGGAGCAGUCUUGAGAGUGCCCAAAACAAAACAUGCUUUUUUUUCUGUAUCUUGUGGUUGACAGGCUCCAAUGACUGAAUCUGUUGAAAUAUAUGAGCCUUUCAGUUGACUGAAUUCAGUUACUGUAGGACAGGUCCAUCCAAAACAAUUUCUUUAUAUGUUUCGUGCUGGCAACUCCACCGCAUCUUAGCUACAGAGUUGCAAAUUCACUGCAUACUGUACUAGUAUGGGCAGAAGCACAAGACAAGAUUUUGUAAAUACAACGUCUGCCUAGUUAAAAAAUAAUAAUGUUUACCAAAAUACACGAAUCUUUGUUUUGCAUAACUUAACCUGUAUCUUGAGUGUUUCUUGUGUGUUUUUGUACAUACGUACGUACAUAUGGUCCUUUCUCCUCUGCUGCUUACUGAGAUAGUACUAAUUGAGUAGUAGUGUGUAGGGACGCUCUGCAGAAAAGUUUAGGUACUUUUAUGCGGUAAUAAUAAAAAGUUGUUGUUCCCUAUCUUGUACUACUAGUAUGUUUGUGAAUGGAACAAGACAUGGAGAGAUGGGGGGUGUUGACCAAAAUAUUCAGACUAGCACAUGAAGGGGUGUGCCUUGUUACUAUAUGUACUCCCUCUGUACUUUAGUGAUCCAAACGCUCUCUCUUAUGACUUGAAUAGGCGAGGGAAAGACUAAGCACAGUUGACUCCUCUCAUGGAUGAGAGAGAGAAGCAAAUAGAAACAGAUUCGGUUCCGUUAGUUGAUGUUUUCUCUAGGUCUCAAGGUAUGAGCACGUUUGCUUGUUUAUUUGUUUAUUACUACUCCCUCCGUCCCACAAUUCUUGUCUUAGAUUUGUUUAAAUACGGAUGUAUCUAAUACUAAAAUGUGACUUGAUACAUCCGUAUUUAGACAAAUCUAAAACAAGAAUUUUGAGACGGAGGGAGUAGUAAAUAUGCCCAUGCGUUGCAACGGGAGAAAAACUAUUAGAUUAUGCAGGUGUGGUGGAUAUUAAAAAAAAGUCUAAAUCAAAUGCCAGGAUGAGAUAAGGACUUUUAAAAUGUCAUUUCACAAACUAUGUCUGAGUGAUGUCAUGAUGAGAUAAGGGACUUUUAAAAAGCCAUUUCGAGAACUGAAAAUGUGAUGGUCUCAUCACGACUUAAUUUCCUAAUGCGCCACAACAAAAUAUUUUUUGGCUGAGCAAAUUGCAUUGAUGGACCCUGCCUGAUCUAGACUGAUCAAUGAUGUGUCUCGCCUUGACCUAGCGUAGUGGUGUCUAUCAUAAUCAGUAAUGUGGUACCAGAAUAAACGUAGCUGUGUAUGGAGGCAAAAUAUAAAUUUAGUCAUUUUUUUUAUAGGUUACAAAAACUAACCCAUAGGAAUUUGAGUCAAUUUUUAGGGGGCUCAACAUUGUACAAGACACGCAAACCUUUUUUUACCGAACGCGAUGGACUAAAUAAAGUCAUAAAACAACCUCUACAGAUCCCCUAAUAAAACCUCCACGUAAGCGACGGUUCAUUUUGUUCAUUAUUUAUGGAUCUAUUUUAUUUUUUGUCAACAUAUUCUAAAAUUACAAGGUCAUUUUUUUUAAAUUCCCGAAUAUUUUUUGAAUACUUGGUUUUUUUGAAAAAUUAUGACAUUUUUUAUUUCAUAAACAUUUAUCUAAAGUCGUGAUUUUUUUAUAAUAUGCGACCAUUUUUUUUAAAUCAUGAUCCUUUUAUUGAUUUCGGAAUGUUUUUUGAAUUCAGAAACAGUUGUAAUAUGCGACCCAUUACAGCAGACGGGAGGAGGUGGCGCGCUUGUUGAGAAAAGGAGAGAAAAAAGCGGGCGGGAGGAGGAGGCGCGCUUGUUGAGAAAAGGUGAGAAAAAGGGUAGGAACCUAGAUCAAACCUGAUCUCCCAUGAGGAGGAUGGAGGUCCUAGCCAUUGCAUUGCUCAGGUGCGCAUGUUAUGGGAGUGUAUCAGUAUAUAAGAACAACGGAACCCGGGUCGAUGUUAAAAUAAAACCGAACUGUUUUUAUUUACUUAUGGGUGGCAUCAUGGGUAAUUUAUGGCAACUUUGAGGGUAAUUAUGGUGACGUACCGCCAGAAACAAUAGCCCCUUUAUUAUCAGGUAAGAUAAGAUUAUUGACUAUACAAUUUCAACUUGGAGUAGACCAACGGAACCGAAUCUGUAUCAAGAUUUGGUAAGGAAUUUGUAUCAAGUAUAUGUGAUAUGGUAAGGAGUCAUCUCUGGCCUGAGAGGUGGUAGUCCAAGGUGUGGCACUGCAAGAUUGGGAAGGGCCGAAUAGGGCUGCAAAGUCAAAAUGUGCCUCUCACAGUGGCAUUGCCACCCCGGUUAUUUUCUCAUAAUAGAAAAGAGAAAACCUAAUAUUAUAGAACUUUUUUUUUCCUAUUUUGUGUUUUUACUAGUGGCUUUCUUUAGUUUUUCUUUUCUUCUUUUCUAUUUUUUCUUCUAAAAAAUUCAUGAACAUUUUUUCAAAAAAAUAAAUCCAAGAACAUUUGUUAAAUUUUGUGAACAUUUUUUUGAAAUCUGUAACUUUUAUUCAAAUUUAUGAAUUUUUUUAAAUGCGAGAACAACUUUUGGAGUUUUGAAUUAUUUUUUUCAAAUUCUCGAGGAUAUGUUGAAUUCAUGAAUAUUGUUGAAACUAGUGGACAUUUUUCUUUUGGCGAGCAUUUUUGAAAUUAGGAACUCUUUUGAAUUCCUGAACCUUUUUAACUAGUAAAUUUGUACGUGCUUCGCACGUCAUUUAAAUAUAUAGAAGCAAUAUUUUUGGACCAUCGAUUUUUUAUUUUUGCCCAGACCUCCACGAAUGUCAUUUUGACCUGAAAUUUUGCACGCAGUUAGAAAAUUUAUCAACGUCCAUCACAAAAAAAAAUCAAAUUUGUUUGAAUUUUUUUACUAUUUUUUGGAUUGUACUGUUCAUGCGGGAGCAUAUGAGCUCGGGAUCAAAUACUCCAUGUCCGACAAGCUACCUUUUUUAAGGGAAAAGUUAUAAGCUACCUAGACUAAAAAAACUUGUAUAUGGUAAGCGCAUUUUUGUUGUGUUCAACAAUACGCGGAUGUUAUCAGUUUAUUAAAUCUGCAAAUUAUAAACUUUUACGUUCUGCCAUACAUAUGAGAUAAGAUUUUUCUUAGCAGAUUAUGUUGGUAGCUUUACCCUAUCUGUAUGAGCUGAAAUUCUGUCAAUGUAUAGCACUCAAUCUUCAAGUAGCCACUGGUACUGUAUAGAGAUAUGAAAGAAAUAUGUUCAGUUAGCUGCUCCCAGCAAGCAAGCCUGCUGCAGGUUCUUGUGAAACAGAAGAUAAGAUUUUGCAAAUACAACACCUGCCUAGUUGUUUACCAAAAUAUACAGAUCUCUGCAUUUGUGGCAGAGAAGCAUAUACUCCCUCCAUUCUUAAAUAUUUGUUUUUCUAGAGAUUUCAACAAGUGACUACAUACGAAGUAAAAUGAGUAAAUCUACACUCUAAAAUAUUACUAUACACAUCCGUAUGUGGUAGUCCAUUUGAAAUCUCUAAAAAGACAAAUAUUUAGGAACGGAAGAAGUAUAUGUUUUCCAGAGUUGUGCAUAAUAACUGAACCUGUGAGACUAAUUAGAUCAUCUUGAGUGCUUCUUGUGUGUUUUUCUACAUACAUACGUACGUACAUAUGGUAAUUUUAAAUCUCCUCUGCUGUAAUAUUUGGUAUGUAACACACAUGACUGACUUGAUAGGUGAUGUUAUGCACAAAGAUUAAGCAGAAAAAUUACACUUAGUUCGGUAAGAUUCUUAUUAUCAACACUGCGUACAUUGGUGUAAUAAGCAUGAAAAUGCAUAAAUAUUUUAUAUGGAAGCAGUAUGGCAUCAGUACAGAUACUAAGCUCCUGUGAAAUGAGCUCUUCCGGUGAAUCGAGGGUGUGCAAAAGGGCGUGGGUCCCGGGUGACAGUGGGUGAGACGUGUUGUGUUGGCAGCUGAGCCCCCUGCGUAUCUGUUUUUCAUGUGUACGUGUCUUCCGUGGAAUCCUUGUGGAUUUGCUGGGCGCCGCGUGCCUUCGUGGGGCCCUGUGAGUUCUCUGAUGCGUCACGGGAGAGUUCGGCUGGGGCAGCGUGCCACGACCCGACGGGGGAGACAACUGGGUCUGCCGUGGAUUGCUUGCUGCUCAUGUAUAUAGCAUCUGUGCCGGAGCCGUGGUGGAUCCUUUGAGGAUGGGUGGAGCAGCGAGGGAUGGCGUGGAUUUGGAGGAGGGGAGGUGGAACUUGCGGCUGACGGCAUGGUUGUCCUUGUUGUCUGCACGGAGGAGAGAGAAGGGAGCAGCGGUCGUCGACGUGGCUGUAACUGGGAGGUCUGGGCAUGGCUGCAUAUGCCGGAGGACAGGAGGAGGAGGAAGGACAACUUGUCUGCAGCCGAGAGCAGAAGGAGGAGGAAGCACAAGUUUGGUUGCAGCCAGGAACGGACCAGCUUGGAGGACAGAAGGAGGAGGAAGCAGGAGCAGAGAGGGGGAAGGGAGCAGCGACCAGCUUGGUGUCUCCGUUCGCUUCCGUAUGGGCAAACUGAAUGUGUGGAAAUAUUAAAAUAUAAGACAAAAAUAGAGACAAUGGAAAACUGAAUGUGCAUAUAUAUCUUUUUAGACUAUUGUGUAUAUGAAAUUAUAGACAACGAUAUAUACACAUGGUGCUGGAGAUGCUCUCAAGGCUGCGUCCGUUGGUGGUGGUCCGUGCAAGGAGGGUUUCGGUUGGACGGUCGGCGGGAGCGCCGUUUCCACGGUUUGCUUUGGUGUGAAAUCUUCCUUUGCUUCGUCGCUGGUUCUCUUCUGAAGCUGUUUUUGGUUUGAUGUUGAGCAUCCCUGUGCGUUUGGUUUUUGGCCGUAGCUUGGCGUUGCUCUGGCCACCAUCAUCAGCUCCGGUUGUAGCUUCCCCUCACACGCCUCCUUGCCCCGUUCAGAUCUGGGAAUCAGCCUCUGAUGGCUCGUUGCACACCCCCAUCCUAGGUCAUCGACAGUGACCCACCACACAGUGAUGCCCAAAUGUUUGUCUUUGUAGAGGAGUUGUCCGCUAUGUUUGCUGUCAACUUUGUUGAUCCGGCUCAUGGUGGGCCUUUUUCCUCCAAACUUGCCACCUCCCGACAGUGGUCGACAACCUAACAAUUGAGUUUUUGAGUUAACGUCAAGAGGGGAUGUUAUUUCACUUUACAUUGCAUGUCCAUUUAAUGGUAAUGAAUAAGAGGAUGAUUUCAUCUUCGCGAGACAUUAGUCUCUCAAUUAGUGGAUGUUUAUUAAGUAAAAAAAUAAGUUCUAAUAAGACAUCAUGUAUGUAUCGAAUUUGUUGGUGUAACAAAAAGUCAAUGAGGAAGCUCGAAUUCGUAAUGGAACUUCCGAAGUUUCGAAGUGGUACUCACGACCAUGAUGUAUUAUCUCGCUGUAGUAAGAGUAAUAAGAAUUUUUAUUGAAGAUAUCAGAAGGAAAGCCUCUUUGUUACCGGUAAUACACGUUGUAUUAUUGAAUAUUAUACUGGCACUCUGGAAUUAUCUAAUGGCAUACUUUCUUGUUAUGUUCUACCAUUUUUUUAGUCUUCGCAUUUUCCUUUGCUAUACUUUAGUAAACAUAAUAAUGCAACCAUAGUCUAUGGCUAAAAGCACAAUACGUUAUACCAUAUAUGUUAAAUAAAAAAGUGGUGCAAUAAUUAGAGAAAAAUGGCGCAGCAAAGCGCGCGUAUCCAUCUAGUCUUCUCCAACUUUUAAGAAAAUACAACAUAAGCACACAAUGCUAUAAAGGAGGUUACUAUCCAAUCUUAGGUGCAAUUUGUCGGCUUCCCUACAUAAGAGCAAAAGAGGGUUGCAGAUUGACUAGCAUUAUACAGCUGUACUGAGCACAACACUAUUGUGUGGCUACAUAGAGGACCACCUUUUAUUGGGGAACUUUUGUCUCUCGACGAUAACCCUAUCGUAAUGGAAUAAAACUCAUUUACCCCGCAAAAAAACUCAAACAUUUAAAAGUAGUAUGAUACUUAUAGUCUAACAAAUAAUGACAUGUGAUAGGCUGCUAACUCGAUCGUAUUGAGUGGCAAGGCCUUUUCACAUCAACAACAAAAAGUAAUGAGUGGAAAGGAUGACGAGAACGCAGUCAGGGACAUACCUCAACUAAGGACCGACGAAAAUGAGAUUUUAUCUGCGCCAUUUACGGAAAAAGAGGUGUUUGAGGUCGUAUCCCAGAUGAAGCAUAAUAAGGCACCUGGACUAGAUGGGUUCCCGGCAGAAUUCUACAAGAAAUACUGGCGCAUCAUUAAGGCUGAUCUCAUUCCAAUGUUCCAUGAAUUCUUUAAUGACCACCUACAGCUUUUCCACCUUAACUUUGGAACAAUAACAUUGUUAUCAAAGAAGGAGGAGGCAGUACUGGAAACUCACGAAGAACGGGGCUUUCAUGGUAAAAUCUUUGUACUUGGAUCUGAUUGAUUCUGACCCAAUCCCGAGAUCUAUUCAUAUUUGGAAAAUUAAAGUUCCGUUGAGAAUCAAGAUAUUCAUGUGGUUCGUCCAUAAGCAAGCGAUUCCCACCAAAGAUAAUCUGCUUAGGCGCAGUUGGGUAGGCAAUUCAUGUUGUUGUUUCUGUGGUACUGAUGAAACAAUACAAUAUCUUUUUAUCGAUUGCCCUCUCGCUAAGCUUCUGUGGCGUACGAUUCAUAUAGCCUUUAACAUAAGCCCUUCAGUUAGCAUCGACAUGUUAUUUGGGACAUGGUUUACUGGACUGGAAUCAGUUACUGUGGAACGUAUUCGGAUAGAAACAUGCACACUUUUCUGGGCUAUAUAAAAUUGAAGGAAUGAUAUGAUCUUUAACAGACAGAAUAUUUUAAAUUUCUUGCAGGUUAUCUACAGGGCGGCCGCUUGGAUAUGUACGUGGUUGUUACUCACUCAUACGGACUCCAUGGAGCUUUUGGUUACUGUGUGCAACCGAUGGAAGACGGUAGCACGGGCUACUUACAACCGGUUUGGAUGACGGUUUACUAAUAGGAUAGAUGCCUAGUCGUCUGAUCCUGUUCAUUACCAGUUGUGGCUUGGUCUAUUUCUUUUGCUUUUUGUGCUCCUUCUGUGAAUUGUACUGCACUGUGGACCUUUAUUUGAUGAACCUUUUUAAUAAAAUGGCCGCAUGUAUCGUUUUGAUGCAGAGGCCGGGGGUAUGUCCUCCUUUUCAAAAAUAAAAAAGGAUUUUGUAAAGAGCAUCGGUCGGCUAAGAGAAGACGGCUUGGACAUGUGACAAAUGGCAAGACGUACUAGACGGCAACCAACUACACAAACUAUGCAUACAUUUUUUGAAUUAUAAGGUGCAACGUCGUUGUUGAAAGAUAGAUGAGGCAGCUGGUACCUAGUACUAUUUGAUCGAGAAAAACGGCCUACCUCGUAAUAGUCGACUCAGCAGAGUCGACGGCCGGUUGCAUUGCAUGCAUGUAAAUGUAACAAGGAGACAAAAACAUAUAGUAUAACAAAAGAAAGCUCAAGGGACAAACAAAAAAAGUUGAAUGAAGUAGCCCAGAAAAUUAAGCUAGCUAGUUAGGGAUGCCCUUCUUCUUAUGAGGCUGGGAGAAGAAGCGAUUUCUUCAUUCUUCCCGCCCGGCCGCCAUGCCCAUGCCCAUUCACAUUCACGCUCUCCUGCUCCUCCUUGCGCUCGUUCCGCUCGCCGCAGCACAGACGACGUGGGCAAACUGCGGCACAGGCCAAGGCAACUACUCGGCAGGCAGCACAUACGAGAGCAACCUCGUAUACCUCCUCCGCAUCCUCCGCUCGAACGCCUCCAACUCGCCCUCCCGAUUCGCCUCCGGCGCCCUCGGCGCUGCGCCGGACACUGCCUGGGCCCUGGUUCUCUGCCGUGGCGACGUCAGCGCCCCCGACUGCUACGACUGCGUCAGCAGGGCCAUGCGGGACGCGGUCACAGCCUGCAACCGCAGUAUGGACGUGGCCUUGUACUACAGCCCGUGCUACGUCCGUCUAUCCGACGACCACGACUUUCUCGACCCCACCGGCAACUCCGGCGAGGUAGAUCUCCUUACCGGCGCCGACAGAAUCAGCACCGACGUCCAUGCCUACCAACAGGCGGUCACCGGCUUUCUCACCGCCACGGUGCAGUAUGCUGUGGACAACUCCUCCAGGCUCUUCGCCACGGGGCAUUGGGUAGGGCCCGACCGCAAUAUGUACUCGGCGGCGCAGUGCGCACCGGACCUGUCGCCGGCGCAGUGCCGAAACUGCCUGCAACGCCUCGUGGGCAAGUGGUGGACCACGUUCCCCCACUUGGAUUUGGAGGGCGCCAGCAUCGCUGGUCCUCGCUGCACUUUGAGGUACCAAGUGUCCCCGUUCUACAUUGGCAGCGCCAUGUUGCAACAGACCAAGCAGGCGGCUGAACCGGCGCCAGCUCCAGCACCCACGGCUGCUACUGCUGCUCCUACGAGAGGUCAGUCAGCUAGCUACCUGCCUAAAGGGCAACCUGGUGCAUGUAGCUCCCGCUUGCGCAGGGUCCAGGGAAGGGUCCGACCACUUUGGGUCUAUAGUACGUAGCCUUUCCCUACAUUUCUGUAAGAGGCUGUUUCCAGGACUUGAACCCAUGACCUCAUGGUCACAAGGCAGCAGCUUUACCACUACGCCAAGGCUCUCCUUCCAGCUAGCUACCUACCUCUGCCCCGAAAAGAGUUUAAGCCUUGAAAACCCUUUUUCUUCUUUCCGAAAAAGAAAAAGGAGGAUUAGCCCCUGCCUCUGCAUUAAACGCGUCAACAAAACAAUUUUAUUGGUUGUUUAUGCACCUCGAUUUAUUGGUUGUGUUACCAAAUCAAACGCGUCAACAAAACAAUCUUACUCACUUAGAUGAUUGAUAUCGCCUGGCAUUGUUGCCGAGUCCCCAGCUUCAGGCAAGAUGGAAUACAUUUUAAAUGAUGACUAGCGAGAUAUGAAUUCUUCAAAAAAUAAGUGAGAGAUGCGCCACAAUUUUUUUUUGUUUUUGCCAAAACUGUAUUCGAUCAAAAGAAAGUCACAUAUGUAGUUCAUGUUCUAUUGUCCUUCAAUGCCUUGCAAUGUAUUUGUUUCUUCUGUAUAUUUGGUUGGCAAAAUAAUGAACCAAUGUAGUACUAUUGGAUGACACAGUGUUUACUCAUAAAUGCGAUGUUUUGUUCCAGGUAGCAAGAGGGCCGUCAUGAAGAUUAUGCUAAUAGGUAUGCUAAAAACUUUUGUCAUCUUUUCAUAUGUGACGAUUUAAAUACCAAUGGUCCACUAAUAGUGUUUUUCUAUGACGAAAUAGUAACUUCAAAAAUUUACCAUGCCUGUAAUCAUUGAAAAUUGAUUCUAAACUAAAAUUUCAGAGAAGCAACUCCCAGUUUGCACGUACUACUAGAAUUUAUGGAAUUUAGCUUUGUUGAUAUUUUUUCCACCAUGCAAUCUUGCAUAAAGGGAAAUUUAAACUACCUUUGGUCUUGCAAAUCAUAAUUACUAUACUACAGCCUUUAAUUAGUUUACGCAAGGAAGUAACAUAUGCUUUCUUCGACAGCAGCAGCCGCAACCUUGCUAUUCCCAUGUAUUUAUAUGCUGACAUGGCGUAGAAAAGGGAGAAGACUAUGGUUUAUCCUUUGCAACAAGUCUAGCAGAAACAAUGAAAAUAAUUACGAGGCCAUGAUAGCAUCCUAUGGAUCCCUAGCUCCAAAACGAUACAUGUACUCGGAUGUAAUGAAGAUAACAUUUUCUCGCAGCAAUGAGCUUGGAAAAGGUGGUUACGGUGUGGUUUUCAAAGGAAGACUUCAUGAUGGUCGUUUAGUUGCUGUGAAAUUCUUGCAUGACUCCAAAGGAAAUGGGGGCGAGUUUGUGAAUGAGGUUAUGAGCAUUGGCAGGACAUCACAUGUUAAUGUUGUUACCUUAUUUGGGUUUUGUUUGGAGGGAUCAAAACGAGCUCUUAUAUAUGAAUACAUGUCGAACAGUUCCUUGGAUAAGUUCCUUUACUCAGAGAACCCCAAAGAAGUUUUAGGAUGGGAGAGGCUCUAUGAAAUAGCACUCGGGAUUGCUCAUGGCCUCCAAUACUUGCACUAUAGCUGUAAUACACGCAUCAUCCAUUUCGAUAUCAAGCCUCAAAAUAUCCUUCUGGACAGUGAUUUUAGCCCCAAAAUUGCUGAUUUUGGUCUCGCUAAAUUGUGUCAUACGAAAGAGAGUAAAGUUUCAAUGACUGGUGGUGCUAGAGGAACAAUUGGAUUCAUUGCCCCAGAAGUUCAUUCUAGAACCUUCGGAGUGGUUUCAACAAAGUCAGAUGUUUAUAGUUAUGGAAUGAUGUUGUUGGAGAUGGUUGGAGGCAGGAGAAAUGUAAAAUCAAUUGUUGAAAAAUCCAGUGAAAAGUAUUUCCCAGAUUGGAUUUAUGACCACUUUUCACAAGAUGAAGGUUUGCAGGCAUGUGAUGUGACAAGUGAAACUACGGAGAUAGCUAGAAAGAUGACAUUAAUUGGCCUGUGGUGCAUACAGGUAUUACCUAUGUAUCGCCCUACUAUAACACGAGUUCUGGAAAUGUUUGAGAGAAGCUUAAAUGAACUGGACAUGCCACCAAAGCAGAACUUCUGUGAACUAGUGUAAGAUAUUUCUCUCCUACUUUUGUUCCUUUGUUUUUGUGUGAAAUUAUUAUUUAGCACUAACUUGAUAUACUCACUUGUCUCUCGUUUCAGUGAAAGUUCAUCUCACAAUAUGGAGGUACAAAGUGCAAGUUCUACCAGUACCAGAUUUGAGAAGAUAAGCCAUGUGAACUCAAAAAACCUACAACGGUUGCCAACUCUUUCAGCAGAUAUAUAAGCCCCGUUAAUCCAAAAAAAAAUCCUACAAUGAUUUCCACUCUUUGAGAAGGUGACCUGCAUUGGAGUACAUUCAGAAAUUGAACAAGCACAAUGAAAUUCAGCAUUGUACAUAUUCCAUAUGUAUGCAUGAUCUGGAGCAUCGGUCCGAUGUCAGCGCCCACAAGUUACUGUCCAAGCAAGAACUAAAAUUAUUUCAGGUAUCGUAUGAGCUUUGUGUUGCAAGCUCCAACCGCUAAAAUGCAUGGAUCUUUAAGAGUAUAAACACAAAAGCAGGAUUUAGGCUCUAAGUAUGGGCACUAAACUUUCAUAAUAUGGAUGCAUAAAGGGCAUCCGUAUAAACAUUGUGGCAAUAUAUUUCAAUUCGCUGUAAGCAAACUAAUUGUGGAAGUGCAAGGUGCAUACUUAGUGUUGAGUAAUGUAGUAGAAAAUAAAAAAUGAUUCUCUCUAUGAUCAACCAGGAACACUACAAAGAUGCAAUGAAUAGUUUGGAUCAGAUCGUUACCGACUUCGAGUUGCAGCGGAAGAAGACGAGUCAGUAUGGAUCAUACUUGGAGUCCCUCAAACUGUAGAUGAAUGAUUACACAAACCGUCCAUGAACAGUCUCUCGAACGGAAGACCGAAAGCACAGCCUCUCUACGAGUUGCAAGCAUACGGUGUUCACGAUCCGUCAGUGCUUCACCGUCCAGAGCUAAUCGUCCCCGAAGAAUUAGAUGGAGGAGAUUAUAAACACACUGGGCUUCUAAUUAUGAGGAUAAGAGGAUCUAGGUCUAUCUCUAAUUAGAUCAAUUAGGACCAACUAGAACUAGAAAGGACUAGAGGAGGCUCCAAAACAAGGAGGUAGCCACCUUGUAGGUUCUUCACAUUCUAGACCCCCUGCAACAAAGAUCAAAAUCAAUUAAUUCACAUUGAUCUCAACCAGACAUGGAGAAUCGAUCAAAAACAAUUCAGUAACUAACUAACUAAGCGAGACACACCACUUGCGGCGGCAAGCCUAGAGUAGAACCAGGUGCAGCCGCCGCAAGGAUGUUCUAUCAACGCAAACAAUAAAGUGUAUUUUGUCGGAAAAUGAUAAAGGUUAAUUGCUAAACGAAGUACCUUUUUCUAUAAGGCAAAUGCUUGCAUAAUUGGUCAGCAUGGUUUGAUGUUAGGUUUAGGAUUACACAAAAACUUUAGCCUAAAGUUCUUUCAGAAGUUGAAGAUCAACAUGCUAGUUUUGAAUCAUUAGCUAUAUAAACUACAUAUGGAAGAACCAAAAAGGUUACAAAAAAAAUGGUUGUUCACAUACUUUGGAUGCACCAUUGGAGGUCUACCUCAAUUCAUCAAUUGGUUUGGUUUUAGACGUGGAAUGACAACAAAAGUAAUAGGCAUGGUGGGCUUGUACUUGGCAGUUCUCCUGUAGACAAAAGUAAUUGGCUUGUACAUACCAGAUAUGCCAGAUAGUGUAUGAAUUAAUUUGCAUUAAACUGUAAGCCUACGCGAAGCAAUACUAUUUUCGUUCUACCUUGCCGCACGUCGAAAUGAGGUGAAGCAAAUGAUGACUGAGGCCUUAACUUCGAUAGCAGCCUGCACCUAGCAAAAAGGUAGCGAACUGCUUUACACUUAUAAACACAAAUCAGACUCUAUAUUCGAUUUCACAGUACGCUUGAAGUAUAAAAUUUGGGUGAAGACGUUCUCAGCCUGUGAAUUAAUUCAAGAACACAUUCGGUGCCUGUCCUUUGGGAUGGUGUUUCUCGGUAAAGUAUCAGUAUUUAAGUCAAAUUUGAACUACAGAAAAGGGUUCUUUGUCCACAGAUGCCCCUCCCAAAACAUGCCUGCAUUAAUCAAGGAUAUGGACACCUCGAAAGAAAUUUUGCCUCAACACAAAUUCUACCCACUACUAAAUAUUCUCAACUGGAUACAACAUGCACAGAGUCUAAGUACCAGGAAAAUAGCCUCACUACCUGAACAAAACAACUGCAAUUCAUGUUACGAGUAGUAUUGAUCAGCAGUACAGGAGAGCAAAAGUACGAAGAUCUGCAAGAGCACCUUGUCAUGCUUUAUGCUGCUGCUGUAUUUAAGAAGUCUAAAAGGACCCCCUUUGCUGGUCAUAUUCUAGAGUGGUAUAAGAACUUCAUAUUCUUGAGUAGAUAAAAACUUCACUGCAUUUUCCCUGGAGUAUAGAGAUCUUAAUAUUUAUACCGUAGUUCAUAGCUUUUUGAAGAGAAAUUCAUGGUGUCGCAACCAACUUACGUGUUAGUAUAGUCUAUUAUGAAAAUCAUCAAGAUAUAGUAUAUUCAUGUAUAUGAUAUUUUAUUAGGUGCAGGUAGUACGGAUAUGGCUUAGAGAUAUACGGUGCUUUGUCGAGGUGUGCCCAUCAUAUCUUUCAUAGCUACCAGAGAUAAACGUAUGCAACUAUCUAGUACUCCCUCCGUUCCAUAAUUUUUGCAGGUUUAGAUCAAAUCCGAACUAAAAUCACGACAAGAAUUAUGGAAUGGAGGAGUAACGGAGAAGGGUCAAAGGUGUUUGGGGUCAUACAUUCACGCUCUACUGGUACAAUAGAUAUCUAUCUAGUUUGUCAUCGUCGACUGAGGAAUUAUCUCCUAACAAAUCUAUAGUUUGAAUGUAGGCUAAAUGUUCAUAUGAUGACAGAACUAGAAUCAACAUUUUCUUUGUUAGGAUAUUUACGAUAUAUAAAUCAAUUUGGUUAGUCAGAAGCUCUUGCCUUACUUAACCAUUUAAAGAUUAUGAAUGGUUACAUGUUAAACAUUAUGCACUCAGAAGUCGUAAUUAGAUCCAUCGGUACAUUUAAUAUUAAGCAUCAUAUGUAUUCAGAGAAGUAUUGACAAAUCAUUCGACUAAAUGGAAGAAUUGAGCAAAAUCCUCCAGGAGUGGGCCUGCAAAAAGGACGACUGCACCAACAAAUAUAAGCAUCAAAUAGUAAACUUCAGAUUUAUUCAUAGGAUUUUCAUACUAUACCAGAGCUGGGGGCGGCAGAGAAGUGGACCUCGAGGAGGCAUCAUCUUUGGGGAAACCAUCUAGAGUGUUGCUGGAUCACUUUAAUAUGAGGAAUCACACCUGGAUCAUCUAGAACGCUGCUGCCGGUUGGAAUAAUUAGUAAUUACACUAUUCCUGUUAAAAGCACACAAGAAGGCGAAUCCAAGCUUCGUCGAGCAGGUGAAGAGAUACUAACCAAACUUAUAUGUGCAUUUCUAAAAAAUUAUAAACAUGUAUUGCUUAAUUAGAUUAUCGAUCUAAGCACAUCACAAAUCCUUCCAUCCAAGUGUGUGAAUUCCACCCAUUCAAUUAGAAGAUCAAACCUGAGAUAAGAGAAAUUUAUAAGUUGAAGAACACAUGUCACUUGCAUCCAACUAGUGCGAGAACAUCACAAAUAUCACAUGAUCCCCUUUCUAAUGCACCUGUGGGCCGACUGGGGCAUAAAUGUUUCUUCUCCUCGGUUUGAUUAACCGGCGAUUGAGCAAGCGGUCUACUCCGGAGCCAGCGGAGACCAUUGAGGUUGAGGCCUUAUCACGAACUCGAGCGCCAUUUGGGGCUUGGGUAUGCGCCGGAGUGUUGGACGACGCACUGGAGCAUCUGAUGGAGGAUACGGCCGCGGCGGAGCGGGUGCUUCUGUGGCGGCUGCUAGUCCAUCCAGAGGCUAUUAUCGUCGUGGGCAGAGGGGUGGACGGAGAAGAGCGCCGCGGAACUCAUGGCCGUCAUCCCGCCAUGGUCUUGACUCUUGCGCACUCUUGGUGGGUGGACAUGGCGGAGGAAGCGGAGAGGCGUGGGGGAUUGAUUUGGCCGAGUGGACUCCAGAUUGGUGGUGGUACCAUGUCCCGGACGAGAAAGCCAAGAAGGUUGAGGCAGCGCGGCCGCCCCGAAUAAUGGCUGUAAAAGGACAAGAUAUGGGCUGUGCAAUCUCAAUGUAUUGAUCGGUGCACCAGGCACGUAUAUAUAAGUACAGAGGUGGGUCACAACCUCAACUAUACAAAGAAAACAGGAGGUGGACCCUACACACAAAUAUACACUUACACAAUAUACUCAACACCCCNNNNNNNNNNNNNNNNNNNNNNNNNNNNNNNNNNNNNNNNNNNNNNNNNNNNNNNNNNNNNNNNNNNNNNNNNNNNNNNNNNNNNNNNNNNNNNNNNNNNNNNNNNNNNNNNNNNNNNNNNNNNNNNNNNNNNNNNNNNNNNNNNNNNNNNNNNNNNNNNNNNNNNNNNNNNNNNNNNNNNNNNNNNNNNNNNNNNNNNNNNNNNNNNNNNNNNNNNNNNNNNNNNNNNNNNNNNNNNNNNNNNNNNNNNNNNNNNNNNNNNNNNNNNNNNNNNNNNNNNNNNNNNNNNNNNNNNNNNNNNNNNNNNNNNNNNNNNNNNNNNNNNNNNNNNNNNNNNNNNNNNNNNNNNNNNNNNNNNNNNNNNNNGUCGAAGCGGCGCCAGUGACGCAAAGACUGGAACGAAACUCCUCGAAGGUAGAAGUCGGCAGUCCAUUCGUCAUCACAUCGGCGAACUGUUGGGCAGUCGGCACAUGGAGAACCCGAACGCGUCCAAGAGCCACCUGCUCGCGCACAAAGUGAAUGUCCAGCUCAAUGUGUUUAGUCCGGCGAUGAUGAACGGGGUUGGCGGAGAGGUACACCGCAGAAACGUUGUCACAGUAGACAACCGUAGCCUGGGAUACGUCGUGAUGCAGCUCCUGAAGUAACUGUCGUAGCCAGGUGCACUCGGCAACAGCGUUGGCCACAGCUCGGUACUCAGCCUCCGCGCUGGAGCGCGAAACCGUGGGUUGUCGCUUGGACGACCACGAAAUGAGUGAAGGACCGAGGUAGACACAGUAGCCAGAGGUGGACCGACGAGUAUCGGGGCAGCCGGCCCAGUCUGCAUCGGAGUAGGCCACCAUCUCCAGAGAAGUAGACGCCGUAAGUGUCAACCCAAGGGUCAUUGUGCCGCGGAUAUAACGAAGGAUCCGUUUCACGAGAGUCCAAUGAGAGUCACGAGGGGCGUGCAUGUGGAGACACACCUGCUGAACAGCAUACUGAAGAUCCGUUCUGGUGAGAGUCAAAUACUGAAGAGCACCGACAAUAGACCGGUAGAAAGGAGCAUCCGACGCAGGCGAGCCCUCAAGAGCAGAGACCUUGGCCUUCGUGUCAACAGGAGUAGCAACAGGGUGACAGUUGAGCAUGCCAGCACGCUCAAGAAGCUCAUGUGCAUACUUCUGCCGAUGAAGAAAGAAACCGUCCGGAUGCCGAACGACCUCAAUGCCAAGGAAAUAAUGUAGAGCACCCAGGUCCUUGAUAGCAAACUCGUCACGCAGCCAGAGAGUAAUCUGCUGAAGAACAGCUGCGGAGGAGGCCGUGAGGAUGAUGUCAUCGACGUAAAGCAGCAAAUAUGCAGUUGUGUCACCGUGGCGAUAGACAAACAGUGAGGCGUCCGAGCGAGUAACGCUGAAGCCCAGUGUCUGAAGAAACCCGGCGAUCCGCUGGUACCAGGCGCGGGGUGCCUGCUUGAGCCCGUAAAGAGAGCGGGACAGCAGACACACAUGGCCGGGAAGUGAGGCGUCGACAAAACCGGUGGGUUGCUCACAAUAAACCUGCUCCUCAAGAUGGCCGUGGAGAAAGGCGUUGGAGACAUCCAUCUGGUGAACAGGCCAGCCGCGGGAUACGGCGAGCUGGAGGACGGUGCGGAUCGUGCCCGGUUUGACAACCGGGGCAAACGUCUCAGUGAAGUCCACUCCAGCGCGCUGGCGGAAACCGCGGACCAGCCAGCGAGCCUUGUAGCGCUCGAGAGUACCAUCCGAGUGGGUCUUAUGGCGAAAGACCCACUUGCCGGUGAUGACGUUGGCGCGAGGAGGCCGGGGAACCAGGGUCCAGGUGCGGUUCCGUUGAAGAGCAUCGAACUCUUCCUGCAUCGCCGCAAGCCAGUGAGGAUCACGGAGGGCGGCGCGAGCAGAUGCGGGAAUGGGCGACGGCUCCGCGGCGGAAGCGGCGAGGACGUACUCGUCGCUCGAGUACCGGAGGCUCGGACGAUGAAUGCCGGUACGAGCGCGAGUGACUGGGCCGGGCGGCACCGUCGGAGCCACCGGCGAGGCGGCCGGCGUCGGGGCCGGCGAAGCGGCCGGCAUCAUAGCCGGCGAGGGGGCCGGCGAGGUAGCCGGCAUCGGAGCUGGCGAGGGGGCCGGCGUCAGGGCCGGCGAGGUGGCUGGCGUCGAGGCCGCGGAAGAGGCGGCCGAGCCUGCAGCGCCCGAUCCCGCGACGCCCGAGUCGGGGGCGGCGGGUGAAGACGGGGCGCCGGCUGCACCGUCAGAGCCGGCCGAGGAGGCCGAGGGGGCGGGCACCGGCGUGAGGGCGCAAGGACCGCCAAAGCCCGGCGGCGGUCCACGGGCCAGACGUGACCGUCCACCUGACGAAGUCGUCGAAGGGCCGCCGGUGGCCGGCAGUGACGAGACGACAAGGGGUACCUGCUGCUGAAAUGGAAACACCAUCUCAUCAAAGUAAACGUGUCGGGAGGUGAAAACACGAUGGGAGACGGGAUCAUAGCAGCGAUAGCCCUUGGUGUUAGGUGGGUAGCCGAGAAAGAUGCAGGCGACGGAGCGGGGUGCAAGCUUAUGAGGCGCAGUAGCGGCGAUGCUAGGGUAGCAAAGGCAGCCGAAGAUGCGAAGCCCAUCAUAAGAGGGGGGUGCACCGAAAAGAAGAUGAUGAGGUGUAAAGUUCCCGCGAGUACGACAUGGGCGGAUGUUGAUGAGGAGAGAAGCGGUGGCGAGAGUGUCAGGCCAAAAGCGCGGAGGCACAUUGGCAUGAAAGAGAAGAGUCGUAACGCAGUCACUGAGAGUGCGAAGGAUGCGCUCAGCACGACCAUUCUUCUGCGAGGUGUACGAGCAAGUGAGACGAAAAAUCGUGCCAUGUGUGGUGAGAAGAUUACGAACAACGAGGUUGUCAAACUCCUUCCCGUUGUCUGUCUGCAACGCAAGAAUGGGACGACCAAACUACGUGAGAACAUAAGAAUAGAAAGCGGCGAGAGUGGAUAUAACAUCCGACUUGCGGCGCAACGGAAAGGUCCACACAUAAUGCGAAAAAUCGUCAAGUAUGACAAGAUAAUAAAGAAAGCCCGUAUUACUGGAAACAGGAGAUGUCCAAACAUCACUAUGAAUUAACUCAAACGGGUACGAUGCAACAAAAGAAGAAGCCCUAAACGGAAGACGAGCAUGUUUGCCGAGGCGACAUGCAUGACACGAGUGAUCCUCAUUCUUAUUACACGUGAAAGAAAAACUCUGAAGUAUGUGACGAAGGGUGGCAGGAUUAGGAUGACCCAAGCGAGCAUGCCAAAGAUCCACUCCGGUGGCGAGAGCGACAUGAGUGGUGGAAGUGGUGGAGGUGGCGGAGUGAACUGGGUAGAGCUCGUCGAGGCUGUCACAUCGGUGGAGCACCAUCCGCGUGCGAGCGUCCUUGACGGAAAAACCACAUUCGUCAAAUUCAACGGUAACCGGAUUUUCACGUGUAAGAGAACGAACAGAAACAAGAUUUUUAAUAAGUUCAGGAGAAACUAGAAUAUUAGACAUGGAUAUAGGAGUGGAGUUAGACGGAAAAUAUGUAUGACCAAUAUGAGUGAUGGGAAGGGAAGAACCGUCACCGACGGUGAUGCGGCUGGAGGUGUGGACAGGAUGGGCGGUGUGAAGGUUACCGGGGUACGCCGCCAUGUGAGCGGUGGCGCCGCUGUCCAUGUACCAGUCGCCGCCACCGGUGUAGCUGGACGCGGAAGGAGCGUUGUGGAGAGCCGCCAGGAGGGCCGGGUCCCACGGUGCCGGCGGGAGAGGCGGCGCGGCCGUCAGGGGCAGCAGCGGCGGCUGCUGACCGUAGGGCGCCGCGUAGGGCUGCGGCGCGGCGUAGUACGCCUGGUGUGGCUGAGGCCGGGUGCCGAGAAUGUCCGGGGUAGGGGCCCGAGGAACCGGCAUAGAGAAGGCGUGUACAACGCCGGUCCAUGGGUUCUGGCCGGCGUACCACGGGGCCGGCUGAGAAGCCUGCUGCGGUGGGCGGGGUGCUCCUCCCUGAGCACCUGCGCCCCCCUGCUUGCGGCCGCCACGACGACCGCCGCGACGACCCCCCCCCCCCCAUUGGCCGCCGGCUGGGGCGGCGGGAAGGGGGCGGCCGGUGCAGGCGGGAAGCCUGGCGGGAAGGCGGGCGCCGCCGGCUGUGGCGGCGUCGGGCACGGCGGUGGCGGGGCUGAACCCCCGCGGGUGCCUGCGACAAGGGCAGUGUGGGUCGCGCGAGUCCGCGCCACCCGCAUCCGGCGCUCCUCCAACUUGAGGUACGCGACCACCUUGACGAAGGUGGGUUCCGGGAUGAGGGUGAGGUUGGAGGCGGCGUUCCCGAAGUCCUCGCUGAGGCCGCCGGAGAGGGUGCUGAUGAGGAGCUCGUCGCCAAUCUUUUCCCCGAGAUCACGGAGCUCAUCGGCGAGCUUCUUGAGGUGCAUGCAAAAAUCAUCGAUGGAUGAGUCAAGUUGCUGGCACCCGUAAAACUCACCACAGAGCAGGACCUUGCGCUGCAGCCUAUUGUCGGUGAAGAGGCCGUUGAGCUUGGUCCAGACCGCAUAGGCGUCGUCCUCGUCGUCCACCACGGUGUGGAAGAGGUCGCUGGAGAUGGUGAGGUAGAACCAGCGGAUGAUGGUGGCGUCGAGGAUCAUCCACUCCUCGUCGUUGAUCAUGAGAGACGAGUCCACGGUGCCAUCCACGUGGCCGUGCAGGAGGUACUCACGGAACACAAGCGAAAAAUACCACUUCCAAGCGGAGUAGGACGCGGUGGUGUGAUCAAGCUUGACCGGAACACGCUCAUGGAUGUUGAGGUCGCGGACGAGAGUGACAUCGGGACCGGCGAACGGGUUGGAAACGGUGCACGAGGAGGAGCUCAUGGCUAGGGUUCGGGACUCGNNNNNNNNNNNNNNNNNNNNNNNNNNNNNNNNNNNNNNNNNNNNNNNNNNNNNNNNNNNNNNNNNNNNNNNNNNNNNNNNNNNNNNNNNNNNNNNNNNNNNNNNNNNNNNNNNNNNNNNNNNNNNNNNNNNNNNNNNNNNNNNNNNNNNNNNNNNNNNNNNNNNNNNNNNNNNNNNNNNNNNNNNNNNNNNNNNNNNNNNNNNNNNNNNNNNNNNNNNNNNNNNNNNNNNNNNNNNNNNNNNNNNNNNNNNNNNNNNNNNNNNNNNNNNNNNNNNNNNNNNNNNNNNNNNNNNNNNNNNNNNNNNNNNNNNNNNNNNNNNNNNNNNNNNNNNNNNNNNNNNNNNNNNNNNNNNNNNNNNNNNNNNNNNNNNNNNNNNNNNNNNNNNNNNNNNNNNNNNNNNNNNNNNNNNNNNNNNNNNNNNNNNNNNNNNNNNNNNNNNNNNNNNNNNNNNNNNNNNNNNNNNNNNNNNNNNNNNNNNNNNNNNNNNNNNNNNNNNNNNNNNNNNNNNNNNNNNNNNNNNNNNNNNNNNNNNNNNNNNNNNNNNNNNNNNNNNNNNNNNNNNNNNNNNNNNNNNNNNNNNNNNNNNNNNNNNNNNNNNNNNNNNNNNNNNNNNNNNNNNNNNNNNNNNNNNNNNNNNNNNNNNNNNNNNNNNNNNNNNNNNNGGCGGCGGCGGCGCGUGGAGGCGCGGCGGCGGCGGCGGCUGGUGACGGCGGCAGGGAGUAGCGGCGGCGCGUGGGCGGCGGCUAUUAGGGUUAGGAUCGUGCUGUGAUAGAUACCAUGUAGAAGGACAAGAUAUGGGCUGUGCAAUCUCAAGAUAUUGAUUGGUGCACCAGACACGUAUAUAUAAGUACAUAGGUGGACCACAACCUCAACUAUAUAAAGAAAACAAGAGGUGGGCUCUACACACAAAUAUACACGUAUAUAAUAUACUCAACAAUGGCAAUAUCAGUGGUUGGCGAGCCGAGGAAUAGAGCGCAGGGCGGGUGAGAGGUCCGGGGAGGCUAGGAUUUGGGGUACAGCCAGCGGCGGCGGCGGCGGCUAGAAUUUAAAUUACCCCAGGAACUACAAUACUGUUUACUAGAACACAACACUGGACUAACUGUUAGUACUGUUUAAAUAAAAACCUCUUUUACUUUUGACCGAAGAAAGAAAAGAAUGCCACAUGCUGCAUCAGAAACCAAAUAGUAGUAUGCCUGUGGAAAACUUGGAACGGACGGUCGGCCAAUGUGCUUUUUCCUCACGCGUUGGCGAAUCGUUUCUAUCUCUCUCCAUUUUUUUUUGCGGGGUUUCUAUCUCUCUCCUUGACACUUUCUUUUCUCACAGCACCAGUUGGCUUUUCAUACAGCCUGUAAAGAAAGUGCGUUGAAACUCUGCUGGUGCCCGUAGAACGAUUGUUCUACGGUUUUGGUUCCAAAAAAAAAAAACUCUGCUGGUGCAAGGAAACAUAACGUGUUAUCUGUAACAUGGGUACAAUUUACCACGUGACACAUGUAGUAAGCAAUCCAAAUUAUUCAAAACAAAACACGGUUACAAUUUUGGUAAAAAAAAAUGUAGUGCAGCGUACAAACGUACUGCCAUCUUAGAAAUAUGGUUACAGAUACAUCGUACAAGCAUGCGGCCACCUUGAAAACACAGUUACCAAUUUUGUUCUGACCAAAGGAGACCUCCACUGCUGCUCAUGUUUUAAGGAUUUCACCAAAAAUAGCUUAGUGACAAACAUCUUGCAUCUUACGUGAUCGACUCAGUAUGUGUAGCCGCUCAGCUACCUCCAUCAUCGUUGGUCUUUGAUCUACAUCCAGACUAAGGCACUCCACGGCCAUAACCGCAAGACUGUCAAGAAGCUCCAAAUCUUCUGGCAUCGCUAUUUCCUUGUCAAAAAACUCGGUGGCCUUCUUCUGUUUCUUAUGGGCUUCAAGAAAGCUCUUUACCAAGAUAUUAUUGUCGGAACGUAUGGCCAUCCUGCUGCUGAUAAGCUCCAGGAUCAUAACUCCGAAACUAUAGACAUCACUUUUUUCGGUGAGGAGGCCUUCCUGAAGAUAUACCGAAUCCAUAUAAUUCAUGUCGCCGAUGACUGAUCCGGUGUGUUGCUUGUCUCUCGCAAUCAACCUGGAUAUGCCAAAGUCUGAAAUCUUGGGUACAAAGUUAUCAUCCAAGAGUAUAUUUGCUGGUUUGACAUCACCGUGUAGAAUUCUAAUAUUUGCUUUUGAGUGCAUAUAAGCUAGACCAUCCGCUGACUGUGCAGCAAUACUUAAACGUGCAUCCAAGUUGAGAGCUACAUUGUUCUUGUUGCUGUGAAGAUUGUCAUGGAGGCUACCUUGGGUGAUAAACUCGUAGACCAGCAUGGGGGCAUCAACUUCAAGGCAACAACCAAUGAGCCUAACAAUGUUCUUGUGGAUGACUUGAGUUUGGAUGAUGACUCAAUUUGCAAAUUGUUCAUUCUCUAGCACACUACCACUGAUCGGCUUCUUUAUUGCAACUUCUUUAUUGUCAAGAUGGCCCUUGUAAACUUCACCAAAGCCACCUUUACCGAUCAAGUUGCUACUCUUCAAAAUUGGCUUGAGUUCCUCCUUUUUGAAAAGUUUUAUGACAUUUGCCUUCUCUAAUGUAGGUCCGCCGUUCUUUUUGAAGAAUUCUUGCCCCUUCUUUUUCUCUUUGCGAAGAAUAAGAAGAAACGAUAGAAUCACCAUAAGAAGAAUACCACCUAUUGCACCUAGAUGGACAAGAAACAAACUUGGUUUAUGCAUGUCACUAAAUUAGCAGUUACAAAUCUAGCAAAAAAUGUUUAGUAUAAGAAGUAAAUGGAAUAUAAUCAAAUUACCACUAGAACUACCAGAAGAAAAAUAAAUCUAAAUCAAGACUGCCAAGGGGUUGAAACUCCGAGGAAAGUGUGCAAGGGACAAGGAAAGCAUGUAGCUUGUACAAUAAAGUCAGGUGAUUUAUAGGAAUUAAGAAGUAGAGCCGACAUGUUGAUCCUUUGAAACAAUUACAUAUAUAUGCGGCUUUGUAUGCAUCAAGAGAUGAACAGACAGUUGCUAUGUCAUAGAUGUGUUUCUAUACGUCUGCUCAGCAAAUGGCUGUAGCGGUUAUCUGUAGAGACCGAAGGCACGUGGGCCCAGAUUCUGCGCAGUAAGUACUAGGAGUCUAAGUCCUUAGCCCAGGUUACAGCUAGACCCAGUGACUCGCCUUUUUGGAAGGGUCUGAUGAGAAUGAAAUCAGACUUCUUCCAUAGAACCAAAUUUAUCAUUGGAAAUGAUACUUCGACGAGAUUCUGGAAGGAUACGUGGUUAGGGGAGACGCUUUUAGCCACACAAUAUCCUUCUCUCUAUAAUAUUGUACAACGUAAAGAGGCUUAUGCUGCUACAGUGUUACACUCCAACCCUCUAAAUAUUCGAUUCAGGAGAUCUUUGGCUGGAGACCGUUGGGAAGCUUGGCUCCAUUUAGUCAGAAGGUUGAUGGAUGUGCACUUGUCUCAUGAGUAUCACUGGAAGUUAACUACUAAUGAAAUUUUCUCUGUGAAAGCAAUGUAUUUGGAUCUAAUUAAUUCCGGUCCAAUCCCAAAAUCUUCACAUAUUUGGAAGAUCAAAGUUCCAUUAAGAAUCAAGGUCUUCAUGUGGUUUGUUCACAAGGAGGUGAUUCUGACUAAGGAUAAGUUGGCAAAACGUAAUUGAGAGGGCUCAUGGACAUGUAGCUUUUGUGAGCAUGAUGAAAAUAUCAAACACCUCUUUCUCGAUUGUCCGAUGACCAAAGUUUUAUGGCGCUCAGUGCAUAUAGCCUUCAAUAUCUCACCUCCAAAUAGUAUUCACACACUAUUUGGGACGUGGCUAAAUGGAGUAGAGACGAAUACGGCGGAACAUAUUUGUGUAGGAGUAUGUGCAUGCAUUACUAUUGGCUAUAUGGAACUUUAGGAACAACAUGGUUUUUAACAGGCAAACUCGUAUUAAUUUUUUUGCAGGUUAUCUUCAGGGCCACUGCUUUGAUCCGUAUGUGGUCGCUUCUCAUUCCUAUGGAAGCCAGUGUGCCUUUGGUUACUGGGUCUACCCGAUGGGUGAUGAUAGUCGGGAUAUCUUCGACCGGUUUGGAUGGUGGUCAUGUAAUAGGAUAGGUGUUUAGUCAUCUAUUUCUAUUUUCGCCGGUUGUGGCUGACUUUACUUUUUAUUUUUCAGCUCUGACAGAGCUUGUUCUGGUACUGAGACUUUUUGGACCUGUUUUUAAUAAAUGGUUGCAUGCACUAUUCUGAUGCAGAGGCCGAGGGCAUUCCUCCUUUUCUAAAAAUAUAUAUGUAUAUAAAUAUAUGUUGUUGAUUUAGAGUUGCAGGAGCAUGAAGAUAUAUACUAGGAGUAUUAUAGGUGGAAGCAAGGUCCUGCUUGAAGUAAUUGAUUUAGGUGAGACAAAUAGAAAAAAGUGCAGGUGCGGUGUAGUAGUAGCUUACCCACAGUCGCCUUUGCUGCUGGAGUGAAUACAUGUGUGCAGGUUCCGGCUUUGCCGUCGCCUUUCAUUCCGAAUUUGCAUGGACAGUCAUAGCCUCCGGGCCUGUUUUUGCAGAUCCCGUGAGUCGAGCAUGGAUACACUUGGGGUUGCUUGCACUCAUCGAUGUCUGAAGAAUCAUCAACACGUUAACGAGUUGGUAAUGGACAGUUUGUUUCUUGCAUUGCAUGUAUGAAUGUAGGAGUAUGUAAUAUCAUAUGUACCUUGGCAUCCGUUUGCAAUGUAUGGGUUGCCAUCGUAAUGGUCCCAGCACUUGCAGAUAUAACGAGCAGGAGCAGAACACCUCGAAGCCAUGCCGGAAGCAGCCCGGGCCGACGCCGAUGCCGAAGGGGAAGGGGAUGUCGAUGUCGCCGCACUUGUGGAGGCAACCCCCUUCCCCUUCCCCUUGAGCUUGAGCUUCAGCUUCAGCUUCAGCAAUGAUGGCCAUGGCGGCAAGGACGACUAAGACUAGUAGGAUUACUGGCGGCGGCGGCGGCCGUGAGUAGAAUUGCGAGCUGGGCGUGGUCAUGCUCUUCUCUAUCGAUAUGAUGGAUGAAUGGAUGGAUGGAUGGAUGGUGGAGCUAGCUAGCUACCCUGGGAUGGCAUGAACGAAUGCCAACUUAUACUCCUCAUUGCAUGUCAUCACUUACUAGUCUGUUUGCAGCAAAAUAAAGAUAUAUAGCUCAAAAGCUAAAGCGCAACAGCACAGAACCAAGACCAAGAUCAGCGUGUUUCAAUUCAAUAACCACGCAGCUGCACGCUGUUUCCCUCUUACGACCACUGCUCCACAUAGCAAAAAACUGUUCGGCUUCUAUCUCCCAUUCCCAUCAUGUGAAAUUUCAGAUUUCCAAAAAGUUUCAAAAUUCCCCUAAAGUAUUAAAAUGUGGGUCCGACUUUACGUAAGUCGCUUGAAAACUUUCUUUCCGGUUUGGUAAGUCGAUUUUCUAGGCCGUCAAUUUAAGAUCCAACACCCGUCCUUUCUUCUUCCUCCAACUUUUCUUCUCCUCAAAUCGUCCUCUCCUCGCUGCCACUCGCCAUGCCAUCUCCCGACUUCAGCGAGAUCGGUGUAUAAUACAAGCAGGAACCAAUACUAAAAGGCUCCCCCACCCGCAUCGAUCAACCUUCGGACUCGUCCGUAGCGUGUCCGGCUUCGGCUCGGUCUCGCCUACUUCCAUACGCCCUGCUGCCACUAGACGCAGCGUGUGCCCGGCUCUACCUCGGGGCUCCGCUUCGCCUUCUUCAUUAUCCCACAAAAUCACACUUACCCAAAUUACACAUUUAGACAACUUAUUUCUGCUGAUUUGUGUUAAAAUUUCUAGUCGACCAGUCACAUUCUCAUUUCUGCUGGCGCGUCAUUUUCUUUCAGGAUUUUUUUGUUGAAGCAAAGACUUUUAAUUGUGGCACUUUCGUAGUGCAUAUAUAUAUAUAUAUAUAUAUAUAUAUUAUAAUCCAAAAGAGAAAAUGGGAAUCAUGUGUUCCAUCGUGCAUCUGAUCCGUAGCUAGUUGAUUGAGAAGGCUAAUAUAUAUAAGUGUUGAUCCAUGUUUACUUUAGGCCACUAAUUGAUCAACUCGCCAAUAAGCUUCGCCUUGGUAAAGCAAGGGUAUAUAUUCAGAUCUGCUAUGAUUUUCGUCAUGAUCGCACGCUUUAGCUAAAGCUAUGUGGAUAUACAGAAACGACUUGACCUAGCGGCAGUUUACCAUUUCGGCAGAGAUUCAGUGCCACCAUUUUGUUCCGGUUCAGUGGAGCGACACAAGUGAGAGCACACCAACCACGGCAUUAUUGUUAUUCCCAUUCCAUUCCAUUAACACGAACUGAAAUCUCAGCUAAAUGUUGGACCAUCUGAACUUCAUGCUUGGGGAGUCCCUCAAUAAUGAAUGUAGCUCCGCCACUAAUCUCAUGCAUUCGUUAUACUCCCUCCGUUUCUAAAUAUAAGUCUUUUUAGACAUUUGAAAUGGACUACAACAUAUGAAUGUAUGUAGACAUAUUCUAGAGUGUGGAUUCACUUAUUUUGUUUCGUAUGUAGUCACUUGUUAGAAUCUUUAGAAAGACUUAUAUUUGGGAACGGAGGGAGUAGUUAUUGGCAGGCGAGUGCACAUUUUAUGCAAACCUUUCUUGCCUCGUUAUGAUGUAUGUAUGGUAAGUAGAUAUUGUUUUUUUUAUUAAAGAAUUUGAUUCUGCAAUCGCAACUGAUAGUUUGUAGCUACUUUCUUCUAUUACAACUCAUCAAAGUAAUCUUGCUGCGCUGCGGCUGUAGAAAAGCCAAGGUUACAAAAGGGCACGCGUACCAGAAGAGAAGAUGCCACGUGGGCGGCACCUAAUUACAUCUCUCAAGGGUGAUGUUGAUGAAGCUAGCUAAUAAGAUGAAGAUGCCAAGUGGGGGAUAUUAUUCAGUUAUAAUAUAUGUUGUGCAUCCAGCAAAAACAGAGGAGCUGCUCUGCUCUGCUCUGUUUCUGGGAAAAAAACAGAGGAGUAGGAAACUGGCUAACCUCUAGUUUAGUUAGCGAAGCUAAUUAGAGUGUGUGUUUCAGUAUUUUUCAUCUUGACAAGUACUCCCUAUGUAAAGAAAUAGUAUAAGAUCGUUUUACAUGCCUUGCAUACUUAUGGUAGUACUACUAGUACCAUCAGAGGUCGAUAAUACGAUAACAUGUCUUGUUUCAUCAUUAGGGAAAUUUCGAAAGCAUUAGGGCAAUGGUGACUGUAGAGCAAAGUUCGAUCAUUGUAAUUGGUGAGAAGGAGGCCAGUCAGGUUGUUUCUCGGCGAACAAGUUGUAUUUCAACUAGCUGCUUUAUACUAGCACUUACUUGUACCCUUCAAAGUUCAGAAAUCCAUUUGUUUCUGACGGCCUGGCAAGCAACCAAAUUACAGUACAUUUUACCGACGACCAUUCGAUUCAAUCCAUUUGUUUCCUUUACUACAUAUAUAGAAUAGAUUCAUUCAGUACUACACAAUACCAAACAUCAAUUACCUUAAGCAUUUUUUUUUGAAAUAAACGCAGGAGAGCUGCGUAUUUCAUUGAUUAGAAGGGGAGGCGAGAGAACGCCGAGUACAGGUGCAGGCUAACGCAUUAGCUUGCGGAACAAGAAAUUCAGAGAAAGCAAAAGAGAAAGAGAGAAAAUAAAUGGGCUACUCUCGCAAAAUUAGGUGCCGGCCUCCUGCCAGCGCCCAGUCGCAUGCCUCCGAUAGCAGGAGGUGCAAGACUUGCCGCGGCGAGCGUUCCGUGGCACCGCCAAAAAUGCACAUGUUGCGCUCCUUCCAAAUCCACCAAAAAACCAGAAGGAUAACCGACUUCGCCAGCUUCCGAGUGGAAGGCGCGCGACUCAUGCAGCUUAUCCAGUCGAUCCAUGGCGUAUCCAGCGUCCAUGCGGCCGGAUUUAGCUCCGCGACAGCGAAACGGUGCGCCACCAUUUCCCAUAGCUGUCGUGCCCAAGGGCAUUCCUUCAUGAGAUGCACCGAUGUCUCGAGGCUCCGCUUACAUAGCGGGCAAAAAUAGGAAUUGGGCCAUUGCCGGGCAAGUAGGCGGUCGGCUGUGAGGAUCGCUGUUGGGCAAGCAGCCAUGCAAAGGUACGGAGUUUGGGCGGAGCCCAGGCCUUCCAGAUCUCCUGCCGCAAUGGGAAAGUAGUGGAUCCGAUGAAGAAUAGCCUAUACGCGGAGGCCGUCGUGUAGACACCAUUUUCCGUUAGCCUCCAGCGGAAAGAAUCCGUGGUGCCGGGGGAGAGCGGCUGCCGGGAAUUGACACAUGCCCAUAGCCUGACAAAGGAAGGCAGCAUGUUGGUGGUCACCCGGCCACGCAGGUCUUGGAUCCAUCUGCUCCCUAACAGUGACUGACGCACGGAGCGCGCCUUGCGUCUUGAGGCCUUGAAUAGGUCAGGGGCGAUCACGAGCGGCGCGCCCUCGGGCAGCCAGCUAUCAUACCAGAAACUGGCCCGGUUGCCAUCCCCAACGGUGACCGCACAUGCUGCCGCAAACAUAUGUCGUUCCGCAAGUGUCACCGGGACCGGUAAACCCUGCCAGGGGACAACCGAGGUCCUUUCUGCCCAGAGCCAGCGGAGGCGGAGCGCCACGCCGAACCGCUCCAGGUCGACGAUACCGAGCCCGCCAAAGUCCCGCGGGCGGCAAACGCGGCUCCACGCGACUUUACAGUGCCCGCCAUGGCAGACCUCCUUCCCCCGCCAUAGCCAUGCACGCCGCAGCCGAUCUAGCUCCUUACGAACCCAUGGCGGGAGCGCAUAGACGGCCGACCAGUAUAUGGUGAAAGCAGUCGGGACGGAGUUGAGGAGAACCAGCCUCCCCGCAAGGGUGAGCAGCCUGGCCUUCCAGCGCGCCAAGCGUGCGCGGAGCUUGUCCAGCAGCGGUUGCAGGUCCACUUUACGCAAGGCCCUGAGCGACAAUGGCAGCCCCAAAAUUUUGCAGGGGAAGCUCUCAACCCUAGCCCUCAGAGGCGAGAUCACGUCGUGCACGUCCAACUGCUCGCACCUUAUGGGAAGGACGGCACUUUUCUCAAAGUUUACCUUAAGCCCGGAAACCAGACCGAAAGCAGUGAGAAUGGAGCGGAGAGCUGCCAGCUCGGUCUUCACGGGGUUGAGGAAGAGAGCCACAUCGUCGGCGUAGAGGGAAGCCCGCAGCUGCGGCAGCCGAUCCUGGAGCUUGGAGAUGACCUCUGUGUCCACUACGACAUCGAGAAGCCGUUGAAGGGGCUCCAUGGCGAGGAUGAAAAGGAACGGCGACAGAGGCUCACCCUGACGCAAUCCGCAAAAGUGAAUUAUGGGCCGGCCAGGCACCCCAUUGAUCAGAACACGUACGAGGAGGUGGCAAGGAGCAUGGAGAUCCAAUCGCACCAUCUCGGGCCAAAACCUUGAGCACGGAGCAUGUCAAGCAGAUAUGACCAGGAGACGCUGUCGAAAGCUUUGGCGAUGUCGAGCUUGACGAAAAGCAUGGCGCGCUUGACACGGUGGAAAUGGCGUGCCAUCCCUCGGGCGAACAUGAAGUUAUGUUGGAUGCAGCGCCCUUUGAUGAACGCAGACUGGGCCGGGCCAACAAGCUCGUCAAUCCGCCGAGCGAGACGCAUCGCAAGCACCUUCAUGAACAGCUUAACCACACUAUGGAGUAAGCUAAUCGGCCUGUAAUCCGCCAUCGAAGUCGCGUCCACCUUUUUGGCCGGAGACACCUGUAGAGCUCCUUUAUAAUCACCCAGUUACGUUGUGACGUUUGGUAGCACACAAAGUGUUCCUCUGGCAAACGGGAGUUGCAUAAUCUCAUAGUCAUAGGAACAUGUAUAAGUCAUGAAGAAAGCAAUAGCAACAUACUAAACGAUCAUGUGCUAAGCUAAUGGAAUGGGUCAUGUCAAUCAGAUCAUUCAACUAAUGAUGUGAUCCUGUUAAUCAAAUGACAACUCUUUGUCCAUGGUUAGGAAACAUAACCAUCUUUAAUUAACAAGCUAGUCUAGUAGAGGUAUACUAGUGACACUCUGUUUGUCUAUGUAUUCACACAUGUAUCAUGUUUCCGGUUUAAUAUAAUUCUAGCAUGAAUAAUAAACUUUUAUCAUGAUAUAUAAGGAAAUAAAUAAUAACUUUAUUAUUGCCUCUAGGGCAUAUUUCCUUCAGAAGACACGCUCGAACAACGAGCAGUGCCACUUUGAAGAACAUCAACGUUGGCCGGUACAGGGCUACGAGCGGCCGGCGGGCACGCUUGGGAAGGAAAAACAACAACAUCGACAACGCGGUCACAGAAUGGCGCGGGACAGAGCGAAACUACGGCGCGGUCACAGGACGGCCCGAAACAAAGCACAAUCCUACUGAUCUGGCAAACUAUCAUGUCGGAGGUGAAGACCCAUGACUAGUCCACGUGCCGCCUCAGACGGGCAGUCCAGCCUCCUCGCCGGCCAGGGCGGCGAGCCCCUCAUAUGGCAAGUUGAUUGAGGCCUUGGCGUGCACCCCAGCAGCCCUCACCAGCUUUGCCGUCAGCUUCCCAAGAGGAGUCUUGAACCUGUUGAUGCAGCGCUCCUGGAUCUCCGGUGUGAAGUGCUCCGGCCUCGAGAUGAACUCCAACUGCUGCGCGAGGCGCCUGCGCCUUCUGCUGCUGGGUCAGGCCCGUGGCACCCUUGGCGAUCCGCGCGCUGGCCCGACGCUGCAGCGGUGGCAUCGCAAUGGGGGUGGGCACCAUCACNNNNNNNNNNNNNNNNNNNNNNNNNNNNNNNNNNNNNNNNNNNNNNNNNNNNNNNNNNNNNNNNNNNNNNNNNNNNNNNNNNNNNNNNNNNNNNNNNNNNNNNNNNNNNNNNNNNNNNNNNNNNNNNNNNNNNNNNNNNNNNNNNNNNNNNNNNNNNNNNNNNNNNNNNNNNNNNNNNNNNNNNNNNNNNNNNNNNNNNNNNNNNNNNNNNNNNNNNNNNNNNNNNNNNNNNNNNNNNNNNNNNNNNNNNNNNNNNNNNNNNNNNNNNNNNNNNNNNNNNNNNNNNNNNCAAGCAGCGAGGCCGGCGGCGUGCGGAAGAGCUUGGCAAGAAGCGACGCUGGGCCGUCCUCGUCAACUUCCAGCCCAGUGAACUUGCAAGCCAGGCUGUCAGCCACGUUGUCCAGGUGGACCCGUUCAGCAGGAGACUUGUGGACGACGACCUCCUCGAGAGCGGGCGGGGCCGGGUCCAUGUAGCAGAGGUUGGGCCAGGGGGCGAGGGGCGCACUAGGCAGCAGCGUGGGCUGCAAGGGCUCCUUGUCCGGGCCUUGGGUCGGUGCAGGCAGCAGGCCCAUCUCCGUGGCCGAGAGACCAGACCAGGGGAGUGGGGGUUGGUUGGUGUAGGGCCACAGAGUCUCGUCCGCUGGGAAGGAGUGCACCUGGCGCACGGUCCCGCCAUCCAGGUCGAGCAGGAGGGGAUCAGCGCGCGUGAGGUCGCGCCAGAGCAUCUCUACCUCAGAGGGGAAGGGCAGAGGCUCUUGGCCGAUGACACGGCAGACGGGGACGCCGAGAAGGGCGGCAUCCGCAGACAGCACAGGCAGCGCCAGGGCGCCAGGCAGCACCGCAGCCAAGACGAGAGGCGGCACGACCGCAUCCUCCAAAACGCCUGUCGGGGAGGCAGAGCGGGCACCCCCGCGGCGAAAACGGUCACGGGACCUCGAGCGGCUGCGGCGCGACGACUGGCUGCUGCUGGAGCCACGCGAGGUGCUCCGCCCGUGAAAGGAGCCAGGAGACGUGUCAUGGAGACGUCCGUGGCAGGAUGAAGAGCCGUGCGACCGACGCCCAUCCGAUGUGGCACCGUGCUCUGAGCCAUCCGAGCGGCAGCCAAGCAGACCCCUGCGCCGAGCCGGACGCGACUCGCCCGGCGCCCACGCCCACGGUCGCGGUCACUGAUAACCCACAAGUAUAGGGGAUCGCAACAGUUUUCGAGGGUAGAGUAUUCAACCCAAAUUUGUUGAUUCGACACAAGGGGAGCCAAAGAAUAUUCUCAAGUAUUAGCAGCUGAGUUGUCAAUUCAACCACACCUGGAAACUUAGUAUCUGUAGCAAAGUGCUUAGUAGCAAAGUAAUAUGAUAGUGGUGGUAACGAUAACAAAGUAAAGACAGCAAAAGUAAUGUUUUUGGUAUUUUUGUAGUGAUUGUAACAGUAGCAACGGAAAAGUAAAUAAGCGUAAACCAGUAUAUGGAAAACUCGUAGGCACCGGAUCAAUGAUGGAUAAUUAUGCCAGAUGUGGUUCAUCAUGUAACAGUCAUAACAUAGGGUGACACAGAACUAGCUCCAGUUCAUCAAUAUAAUGUAGGCAUGUAUUCCAUAAAUAGUCAUACGUGCUUAUGGAAAAGAACUUGCAUGGCAUCUUUUGUCCUACCCUCCCGUGGCAGCGGGGUCCUAUUGGAAAUUAAGGGAUAUUAAGGCCUCCUUUUAAUAGAGAACAGGAACAAAGCAUUAACACAUAGUGAAUACAUGAACUCCUCAAACUAUGGUCAUCACCGGGAGUGGUCCCGAUUAUUGUCACUUCGGGGUUGCCGGAUCAUAACACAUAGUAGGUGACUAUAGACUUGCAAGAUAGGAUCUAGAACUCACAUAUAUUCAUGAAAACAUAAUAGGUUCAGAUCUGAAAUCAUGGCACUCGGGCCCUAGUGACAAGCAUUAAGCAUAGCAAAGUCAUAACAACAUCAAUCUCAGAACAUAGUGGAUACUAGGGAUCAAACCCUAACAAAACUAACUCGAUUACAUGAUAAAUCUCAUCCAAUCCAUCACCGUCUAGCAAGCCUACGAUGCAAUUACUCACGCACGGCGGUGAGCAUCAUGAAAUUGGUGAUGGAGGAUGGUUGAUGAUGAUGACAGCGAUGAAUCUCCCUCUCCGGAGCCCCGAACGGACUCCAGAUUAGCCCUCCCGAGAGAGAUUAGGGCUUGGCGGCGGCUCCGUAUCGUAAAACGCGAUGAAACUUUCUCUCUGAUUUUUUCUCCUUGAAAGCCAAUAUAUGGAGUUGGAGUUGGCGUCGGAGGGCCACCAGGGGGCCCACGAGGUAGGGGGCACGCCCAGGGGGGAGGGGCGCGCCUCCCACCCUCGUGGACAGGGUGUGGGCCCCCUGGUCUUCAUCUUUGGCGAGGAUUUUUUAUUAUUUAUUCUAAGAUAUCCCGUGGAGUUUCAGGUCAUUCCGAGAACUUUUUUUUUCUGCACAUAAAACAACACCAUGGCAAUUCUGCUGAAAACAUCGUCAGUCCGGGUUAGUUCCAUUCAAAUCAUACAAGUUAGAGUCCAAAACAAGGGCAAAAGUGUUUGGAAAAGUAGAUACGACGGAGACGUAUCAGUCACCCGCCACGUCAUCGUCGUCAUCACCCCCACGGCGCCUGGGAUAGGGGCGCGGGUGAUCCUGGCCGCGGGGGCGGCGGCGCGGGGCGGGCGCCACCGUGCCAUCUUCAAAGUGACGAGUCCAGCCGAAACGCUCCUCGAUGGGCCACUCCUGGCUGGCCCCGGGCGCGCGAUCGGCCAGCGGCGUGUAGUCCUUGGUCAGGUCCAGGUGGAUGAUGACGGGGAACUGGGGACCGUGCAGCGCCUCUUCGCGCGGGGUGCCUUCGGGGAGAGCGGGGCGACCACGGCCGUCCGGCGCACGAUCCAGGAAGGAAUGGCCGCUGCCGAGGGGGAUGUCAUCGGGGCUCCACGCCCACACCCAAGCGUAGGCAAGCGCGGUGUUGGAUAGCGACGUCGUCUGGCGCUCCAGCCUGUCCACCCAGCAAGACAUGCCGAGCACGUCCUGCACCACCUCACGGUGCCACGCCUGGACGGGGAGGUUCUCAAUGGCCAGGCGACAGUAGAAGCGCCAGGCGCGUUGAUGCCCGCCCGCGGCCGGCCUCCAGGCGGCGAGGGUCAUAGCCACCCCGCGGCAGGACGCCACGCCGACGUCGACAGCAAUGUUGCGAUCACGCGUGUGCGCGAACCGGACGAGGAAGUCUUCAGGAUUGUGCCUUGACACGUGCAUCUGGUCGAAAGGGAUGGCGAGGUCGCGCUCGAUGGCCUUGGCGACGAGCUGGGGGUUGAUGUCCUGGCGCUGCUCCGAGAGGGUGACGACCACCGCUGUGCCCCUGAGAUGGCGGGCCAUUUCCUCGACAGCCUGGGAGCACACCGAAAAGGUGGCGUCGGCCGCCUGGCGGCGGGAGAGGUCCCCAGGGCGGUAGGCCAUCGGCACAGGCGGCAGGGCAGGGGGGCGCGCACAGAUGGGAGGAGAGGGCGGUGGCGCGGCCUGAGGUGGCGGUGGGAUGUGGCUGGGUGCGGGGGGGUGGCGAGGCGCAGGUGGUGGUGGUGGCGGGAUGCGGCGAGGCGCUGUGGGAGGUUGAGGCGGAGGAGGGGACGCAGGGGCUCUGGCUAGGGGCGGGCUUGCGGGCGGGACAGCGGGCGGACCUGGAGCGGUGCGCCCAAUGCCAGCAGGAAGAACAGCGCACGGGAUAUCGGCAAUCAAUUGCACGGUGGCCGGGGGCGAGACAGCGAAGACACUUGUCGUGAAAGCGCCUCAAAUAGGCAGCGCGCCGUUGCUCGGCGAGCAGGAGCUCAGCUGGGGAGCGCGGGCGGCCAUUACUCAGCCCGGCUGAAGAUGGUACGGGCGGUGCACGCUGCUGUUUCCUCGAAGCGACCAGUUUCCAAGCAGAGGCCUCCGGGGCCCGCCCAUCGCGCGAAUCCCGCGCCUCCAAGCUGGAGGAGGAGGGCGGAAGCGUGCCCUGCAGCGCAUUGAAGGAGGAGGUGGGCGGGAUGUAGACUGUGGAGGCGAGGCGAGGAGGGGGAGAUGGCGCGCAGCGCAGAGCAGUAAUGGUGGAGGAUUGCGGGAUCGAGAUCAUCGAGGGGAGGCGCCGAGAGUAGGCCGGCGCAGGGCAUGAAUGCCCGCUUGCCAAGCAGGGCGACUGCCCACUGGCCUCGCUUGGACCGCCCACUUCAAGGUGACCGAAACCAGAUCCAGCCAGAUCCAGCGUGCCAUGGGAGCCUGGGGCGACCGCAGGUGCCGAAGGAUUCGCAGCUGCGCCGCCGCGGAGUUCGAGGCGCCGGGGAGAGGCCAGUGCCGGGCAGGGGGUGAGGUGGUCGACGGGCUCGGAGUGAGCAGCGCCGAUAUGGUGGUCCACACGGCCGGGGAGGCGCAUGGCGAGGGGCUGGUGGGGGAGCGAGAGCGGAGCGCGUCUUCCUCCAUUGUUUUGAUUCUUCCACCCCAUUACCUUAAGCAUCACAAUUCAACAAACGCAAAUAUGGGGUGUAGCUCAUAAGGUAGAGUGCUCGCUUCGCAUGCGAGAGGUGCGGGGAAUUGAACCUCCACUUUUUUGACCCUCUUUUGCCCAUUCCAUUAAUUUAUUUUUUGUUUUUUGUUUGGAGCAAACCAAAUAUACUCCUUUUUUUCUUCAUUCAUCCAUUUUCCUCUUUUGGUUUUUGUUUUCGGGAAACAAGUCUACUAUCUGACAUUUACACUCUCUUGUAUUUCUUUAUCCGGCUUCUUGAGACCAUUUUUCCGUUACCUGACCAACAACUAAGCCGGAUAAGGUGCAUUGGGAUCCCGCAAAUUGGAAAAUACGAUCAUAACAAUUCUUAUUUCCAUUCUCGAAAAACAAAAACAGAAAAAAAAAACUAGAUCCUUGUGUCCAAAUAUAUAGACCCGGAGAAACUAGGUGAUCAUCUGAACCAUCCAGAGAGAUAUGUUGGUCGAUCCCAUGCAUUGGAGAUGCUCUUUGGUUGCCUUCAGUUGGGAUGACUGUGCCUGUGCCUGUGUUUGUGUGUGACUGUGCCCUGUUCGUGGGGUUAUGCAUUCAAUCGAGGUAUACGUACCCUCUUCUCUUUACCUUGUUUUAUUUAUUAUUCAUCGGAAAUCAUACCUUGAUUCAGAGCAUUCACAACAGUUUGCAACUCAACUUGAGUUACUAAUCAUUAUAUAUAUAUAUAGCUGCAUCGAUCGAUCGAUCUGUAUAAUCGACAGUUGGUAUCUUUUUGAGAGUCCCGUCUCUUUUUUGUUUUGAAACUGUCACCGGGGGAAAAGAGUCCCAACCUGAGUAUAUUUCGAUUUUUUGUUUUUGUUUUUGUUUUUGUUUUUGUUUUACAAGAGUCAGGACAGUGGAGAGGAUAGGAAAUCACGCGACAGGAUAGGCCGGCGUGAUCCCUACCUCAGGAUAGCUUACCGUACUGUUUAGAGCCCCGGAGCAGGUGGAGUUACACUUGAAAAUCACGGAGCACCUGUUUCUUGGCUUCGCAGCUCUCGCGAUUUCAUGGAGCUGGUGGAAUUCCGAACAGGGUCUAUGUGACCAGAGUGUGAGAUCAGAGAUGAUAAAAUAGAGAUUACAACAUUAGAGGAGAGAUCAACAAAACACCGUUAGGGGAAUUUCUGGAAUCCCAUAUUUUCUAAAGUAUUAGAAGGGGAAUAAGUUGUUUCUCAACUAGCUAGUGAAGUUGUUUCUCCACGAACAAGUUGUAUCUCAACUAGCUAGCUAGUUUAUACUACUUAUACUUGUACCCUUCAAAGUUCCAAAAUCCAUUUGUUUCUUUUUCUCAUGGCCGGGCAAGAAAAUUGCAUUUUACUGACGACUAUUUGGUUCAAUCCAGUUUCGUUUACUACAUACUCCCUCCGUAAAGAAAUAGUGACCUAAAUGCUCGUAUAUUUCUUUACAGAGGGAGUAGAAUAGAUUCAUUCAGUCCUACACUUAAUGAAACAGCAGCCACAACCUGCAACUGGCCGGAGCACAAUUUCAUCCAGCUACCAAACCAGUAGACAGGGCAAAAAACAGACUGGAAACAUCAGCAGUCAAGCACAGCAACAGCAGUGCUUACUCGUCUCCCACCCAUCCUAACGAGUCAUCAUGAUAGCUAGUGAUUAGUUGUUCCCAGAUGAACUCAGGUCUCAAGCUCCUUCCAACUCCUCCGCCGCCACCUCGGCAGCAGCCGACGCUGCCCUUGCCCUCGCCCUCAUCGUGGCCACGUCGGAGAAGUCGUCGGGCAGCACGAUCAGCGGGUUGCUGUUCCCCUCCGACUUGCGCAGGAACGCCUGGGCCAGCGCAUACCCCAACGCACGGCCGACUGGGACCGCCACCGCGUUGCCGACUUGCAUGUAUCUGUCAAGCAACACAUCAUCAUCAACAUUCACGAGUUGCAAAUGUUCAGUUCAGGUCCAGCCUCCUACCUUCUGAUAUGGUAUUUGCUUAACACGCUCAUAGUCAUCUUUGUUCAGCUUCAAAGGCCGGUGAUCCAGGAGCUUACCUUCUGAGGGACAUUUGUUAUCACCAAAUGAGUAGUCCAGCAUCUCUGGAACAUGUCAGGAGCUUCAACUCAUUACAAAGGUAUAUAUAUGAAACUGAAUUGCAAAGUGAAAAACUAGGCCUUUCUUUCCCAAACAAACAAAAAGGUGAGCGGAUUCAUCUUGUUAGUAGAGCUAUGUAAUUUACCUUUACGACUUAGCCGGAUAUAGCGCUGGAAUUCCGUCUCUGCUUUCACACUAUACACAGUUUCAUCCGCAGUUUCAUCGUUGCUUACCUAGAUGUACAAAAGAUGUUAGAUAUGUCGAGGUUAUGAAAUGUAUAGGCUGGGGGAGAAACUUGCCGUGGGCAGAUCUGAAAUGGCGUCACCAAGACACAGAGCCUCCUUCAAGGUUGGUUUCUGAUUUUCAUCAUAUGCAACAACGCUUUGCUGCAAAACAGAAUCAAUCUGGUCAUCAUGCAUGUUUACACUUGCUAGUGAUUUCAGUAUAGUUUUACUUACAGAGAAGGCACUUGGGGGAGGGGGUACUUUGGGAGCACCUGCAUAGCCAAAUACACCAUAUCAAUCAUCUGAGUCAUAGAGUUGUAGAGAACACUGAUAAUGACAAGGUACAAAAACAAACCAUGGUCGGGAGGGCUCCCCAUAGGAACAUUCGCAUUCGGAAUUGUGGCAGCCCAUAGCAACCGGCUACCAUCAACCCCAUCCGAGAUUGAUAGUUUAGUGCCACCAAACGGCUCAAAGCAUACCUACCAACAGAGCCACCAUUGAGCUUAAGAAUAUCCGCGACGUUUUCCAUAAGCACAUAUUUUGGCUUAAGGAAGGAAACGAUGUCCAUAAAUGUGACAAUCUGUCUAUUCUUGUCAUCAUCCAAGGGUUUGUCACAUUUUCUGUGCCGAUUGUUCCCGCUCAAUCCUUGACAGGGCGGGCCACCGCACAACACAUCAACAUCACCCUUUAAAAUGUGAUAGGACAAUCAAAUACCAUUAGCGAAUCUUGUGUUUAGCCAAUAUUAUCAAGUAGAAAGAAGAUAGGAAACACUCACUGGCAAUGGUAAGAUCUUUCGCCUAUGGCCUUCUUGAACAAAUUGUUUAAUUUUAACUGGGAAAGCACUGAACAUUGAAGCAGAGUCAUUGCACUUGAAAUACACUUUUUUUUACGAAUAACUUCUGAUUAGAUACUAACCGGAGUUUCUCCAUGGGCUCCAGGAAUCCUCGACCUGAUGGUCAUUCCAUUGCACCUGUUAAAAAAUUAUAUUAUGAUGACAUGUACACAAACAACAAAUGCACCAACAAAUGAACAAGAUGAGAAUUAAGAGUACCUUGAAGUAUAUGCAUUUUUCUCUCUUGGUGCCACCAUAGGAGAUGGCGGUAAGUUUGUCUAUGACAAGCUUGCCUUUUUCAAGUACACGGUCUUUCCCUUCAUCCGCCAACGAACUAGCUGAGGCAUCACCAUUAUGUUUAUGAAUGUGCUUGUCACAUAGGACAGACCAUUCCUCUAGCAAGGUAAGAAAAUCCUCCACUUUUUCAUUACGAACCUACAUCCAAAAAUCAGGAAACAAAUUAUAUAUUCAGCAAACAAGAGAGAGCAUUUAUACAAUAUAACGAAGUUUAAGAUGCACCAAGACAUACCUCUGUGCUUGGAUGGUUAUACUUAAAGCUCUCACAUGCAUUGGUAUUAAGAUCUACAGCCCAUCGCUACAAAUAUCAAGAAAAAGGUAAAAGCAAAUAAGGACAUGUUAGUGGAGAGAAAUCAAUCACUUAUAUUCUUCAAAACAAUAAGGUAGAACUAUACCGUUUCGAUCUGAAGACCAGCUAUUACUGCACCCAAGCACAAGCCGGUGGACAUUCCACCACAGCCUGAAUAUAGGUCGAGAAUUGUUGCUUUUGUUGCUGCAGCGUCAGACUCUGAAUUAGCUUCACCAUCAAAUGAGAUCCCAGAAUUCUCAUUAAUAUCUACAAGCAAGGCAAAUCUUGUAUUAUCAUAAUAAUUUUUUUUACCACGGGAAUUUAUCUCGGUAGAUUAAUUCUGAAUUUGUGUGUACAAGUUCAAGGUGGAAACUGGAUUUCUGACUUCAAGCAGAUUAUGAUCAACAACAGCGAAAUUGGUGGGGAAAAUAGGUCUAUGUAUAUUUUAAAAAACCUUCAAAGCCCAAAAAAUAAUUUUGAAAAUCUAAUACAACAAAUUUAGCAAUGGUACUCCAAAGGUUAUAAGCAGAGUGCAAAGCCAUGUCAAUAUAUAGUAAGUUUCUCUAUAGAGCCAAUAUAUAUAAUGUUCAAAACAUAACCAAGCUGGUUUGCCCUUGAUGCAGGCAGCAAUUACCUGGUGUGAUAUUUUCAAACGUCGAGUAGGGGACAGUAUAGGACAUAUCAAAGUACAGGUCCGCGUCAGCCGCUAGUUGAGCCUUGGCUUCUUGAUCAAGCUGAAACGAGGUGUGCAACAAAACUGAGAAACAUUUACAUAGGUAUAAGGCAUCAUAGAGUCAUGAACAACAAACUACACUUACCUUGGGAUCGACCUGGAUGAUCUUGACCUUGGACACAAUACAAUCAAGGUCAUUAUCGUUCCUCUCGUCAGACAAGAAAACACGCUUCGGGUCGUGGGUGUGGUCCUUGACAAGUUUCGUGUUGGAUAUCACUGUGUCUUGUGGACGGAAGAACCACCGGCAGGCGAAGUAGCGGCCACCGUCGACGCCCUCGAAGAACUCUGUUAUCCUGCCGAUGUAGUCCACCAGAUUUUCACCGGCCUAUGCACAAAUGGGUACGUAGAAAGGAAUUAAUAGUUGGAAGUAUAGGAUUAUUUCUAGUCGCAACAAUCAAGCAAUGCGGUCUUUACUACUACUACUACUCCUAUUACUUGUUUAGAAAAAGCGACCUCUGCAUUAUUCCGAUGCAAUGCGUACAUAACCAAUUUUAAACCUAUCUAUCUAUCUAUCUAUCUAUUAUAUAAUUAAAACAAGAGACAAAUAAGCCAUCAUGUUCAUCCACAUAUGCUAAUAUUAUUUAGACCAUUUGAUUAGAAUAGCAACGGCUAAGAUUUAAAAGUAAUUACGUAACAUGUUAAUCUGAUUAGAAUAGCAACGGCUAAGAUUUAAAAGUAAUUACGUAACAUGUUAAUCUGUAGAAAACGGCAUGAUUGAACCAUCACGUUGUCACGUGUCUAUGCAUAAAGAUGUAGUAGUCGAAAGUACCUUUCUACUCCCGAGCUCAUUUGAGCUUGGUGAACAGUAAAAUCGAAAAAAAAUAAAAAAAAAUUGAAAAAAAUUCAAAUUUUUUUUGGGAUAAACAUUGACAAAAGUUCUACCUACUUGCAAAAAUUCGUCAUGGAAUCACAUUCCUGUGAGGCGUGACAAAAAAAACAAAUUCAGUGCUCCAAAAUGCUUUUCAAAGUAGCAUUUUCAGAGUACCAAUUUUGUUUUUUCUGCCACGCCUUCUAGGAAUGUGAUUUUAAGACGAAUUUUUGCAAGCACUUACAACUUUUGUCAAUGUUUCACCCAAAAAAAA
rnacentral:lncRNA from 1 species